CUGGUCGUUGGACACAAACGAAGUACACGAAGUUGCAAUGGCUAACUUUUAACUAAACAAAUCCCAAGGAAAAAGCUACUAGAUGGAUCUACUUAUAUAGGAGCAAGGGGUGGCGGCCAAGGAGGUGGGAGGACGUCCCAAGGCAGCCUAAAACUAACCCUAGGUCGUACAAGGCUCAUGGGCCCAAGUGGAGGUGAUGCAACACCUUUGGGCUUGUAGUUUGACUCGGAUUCUGCUGCAAUGUCAGAUUGUUUCGUCCGUAACUCAACGCUCUGGACGAAUUUGAAGGUGAAUCCAAUUGGGUUGGAAAGAGCACGAAAUCUAGUUUCCAACAAAAAAGGAAUCACCCAAUUCGGAGUCCGAAUGAAAAAGUUGUUGCCGUUUUGAGUCAGGUAUGUCUGUGCAGUCCGAAUCUGAAUCCAGAACGUGAGAGACUUUGAUAGAGGCGGGGUGUCCCGAUCUUUCGAUGAGAUGAUAACUAACGAUUUGGUGGAGACAACUUUGACGAUCCGACUACAAACGUGCACGACGUUGCGCCUUAGCAAUCGCUAAACCAAGUCCGAGAGGUUAUUGACCACGCCGGAGCACAAUCAACCUGACCACGAAGGUCUAUUCCUGCAAGCAAUCGAAGAACAAGCAAGAAUAUGAUAAAAGCAAUCUGAAUAUUGCGAGUAUAUAUGAAGUAUUGAUAAAGGUGGGGAUCCGUAAGCGGUCUUGGUCUGGUCGUUGGACACAAACGAAGUACACGAAGUUGCAAUGGCUAACUUUUAACUAAACAAAUCCCAAGAAAAGCUACUAGAUGGAUCUACUUAUAUAGGAGCAAGGGGUGGCGGCCAAGGAGGUGGGAGGACGUCCCAAGGCAGCCUAAAACUAAAUCUAGGUCGUACAAGGCCAAUGGGCCCAAGUGGAGGUGAUGUAACACCUUUGGACUUGUAGUUUGACUCGGAUUCUGCUGCAGCAUCAGAUUGUUUCGUCCACAACUCAACGCUCCGGACGCAUUUGAAGGUGAUUCCAAUUGGGUUGGAAAGUGCACGAAAUCUAGUUUCCAACAAAAAAAGAAUCACCCAAUUCGGAGUCCGUAUGAAAAACUUGUGUGCGUUUUGAGUCAGGUGUGUCUGUGCAGUCCGAAUCUGAAUCCAGAACGUGAGAGACUUGGACUCUAUCUUCUCUUGGGCCAAAAGUGACGUGAGAGAACUUUUUGGACAGCAAAUAAACAUCUCUUUCUUCCUUAUCUUCAUAUGUGGAUUGUACAAAUGUCCCAUACACCUGCAAUUAGACAAAACACAAAAGUGUGUGAAGUAUUUUUGUUCUGGAUAACAUAAAUAGAUUAUUGAAUAGUUUGCACUAGAAAUCACCUGACAAAUAUGCAUAUAUGCAAUAUUUUUUGUCAUAUCCAAGGUAGUCAUGUCCUCAUCAUUUGCAAGCAAGAUGAAACAAAUGGUCCAUAGGAUAACACUCUUCAUGAAUUAGUAUCUCUUGAAUAUCACGGUUUAAUCCUCCCCAAAAUCUAUCCAUAAAAUCAUCUUCACUUUCUUCUAAAGAGGAAUGCAACAAGGUAGUUUGUAAAUCAUCAUAAUAUUUUGUUACAGUUUCACUACCUUGUUUUAAGUGUUGCAACUUCUUAAUCAUGUCACGAGUAUAAUAAGAAGGGACGAAAGUAUGUCGCAUGGCAAGUUUCAAAUCAUCCCAAGUAGUAGGUAUAUAAUCAGGGUGUAACCGACAAUAUUCACUCCACCAAACCAAAGCAUAACCAGUGAAAGAACCAACCGCAACCUUAACCUUUUUAUGUUCAUUGAAAUUAUGGGAAGCAAAUAUAUUUUUUAUGUCGAACUCCCAUUCAAUAUAUAAAGCAGGUUUAAAACGGCCAUUAAAUGGUGGUAUAGAUACAUUAACCUGAUCAUGUGCAUUUGGAUGUUUGUGCACCUCUCGUGACGGUUGUGGUAUUUGCAAAGGUGGUGGCACGUCUCCCGCGAUCGACAAAGCCCAUGAAUUGACUCUGGAUCCUGUCAUGAUUAGUAGAACAAGAAACAAAACCCAAAAAUAAUGUUCUUAUAACUACUAGGAUGUGGUGGUAAAACGCUCACAGUAAAGCAAAUAUCAAUGUCUUACAAGUUCUUACCAUGCAGCAAGCGGUGAUCGGCAACCAGCGGUGUCAAGUAACUCCGAAUAUUGAGUAAAGCGAUUGCCAGGGGAGCGUACGUAUACACGGUGUAGAAAUAUGUGGAGCUGGGUUGGCUAUAUAUGGUAGCAAAAGAUUAUCAAUAAUCAAUUCAAAGAUGCAAUGUUGAAUAAACGCUCAACGACGGUACCGUGCUGGUCCUAGGCUAGACCGGACUAGAGACGCGAGCUUAGAACACUAAUGAGGUCACGGCGUAGCAAAACUAGCAUCAAUGAAGGAUACUAAGUAGCUCUUGACAGCAAGAUAUAAGUGAAGAUCACAACGGCAGUGAAGAUAAUGAUGAAAAACAACUGCCAAGCAGGAUAUACAACAACUCUCUCUCCAACUUUCCUCUUGAAAAGUUUGAGACAAUUUUCUGAUAAAUUCUUUCAAAGAAUGCUACUAACUCAAGCUUUCCAAUGCAAAAAGAAUCACUCAAUUCCGAGUUGAUAUGAGGAGUCAAAGAAUUCCAAAACUGGCCUGAAAAAUUGGAACAAGUUGUGUUCACGAACUUCGGAGGGCAAAAAGACCUAUUUAUAAGCCGAUUUUGAGGUGUCAAAUAUUGAACUAGCUUCUGCAACUAUUUAGAUGCGGCUCGUUGCUAGCUUCAAUUUGAGUACUCACAGAGCCAAAACGGACUUCAUAUGAGGAAGAUACACCUUUUUACUGAACAGUGCGCAAAACAGAUUCCAAUCCGAAUUCAGGUACGAGAUUGAUUCUAGAUAGAUCCAAUUUUUUUUUCUUCUCUCUUUUUUUUCUCACGCUUUUUUUUUCUUUUUCUUCUCUCUCUUUUUCUUUUUUUUUCUUUCCUUUUUUCUCUUUUUUUUCUCUAUCUUUUUUUUUCUUUCCAAGACAAACUAGAUAAGAUACAGAUUGGAUCAGGCGAAGAUGUGAAUGACUUCAACUAGGAUUAUGACAAUGAACAGUGAGUAGCACGUGGUGGAAAUUAAUAGACGGGAUGGUGGACAGCGGAAGGGAUAAUGAUGCAGCGGCGGCGUGACUAAUGUGAAAAGAACUCGAAACUCUAAACGAACUAGACACUAAGACCAGCAAGUCGACACGACGAUGCAACCGAUAAUUCAAUAAUGCAUACAAUAAAAAGAAAAUUGCAAAGGCUCAGACUGGCUUGGAGAAAGGAUGAAUAGAUCUAACUUUUUUUUGUGGCUUUUUCUUGGACAAUAGGUAAGAAAAUAAAUCUAAUCUAGGAAAACUGGAAAUUCUCACCGAGCAACCUGAAAACUGAUACCACUUGAUAGAGGCGGGGUGUCCCGAUCUUUCGAUGAGAUGAUAACUAACGAUUUGGUGGAGACGACUUUGACGAUCCGACUACAAACGUGCACGACGUUGCGCCUUAGCAAUCGCUAAACCAACUCCGAGAGGUUAUUGACCACGCCGGAGUACAAUCAACCUGACCACGAAGGUCUAUUCCUGCAAGCAAUCGAAGAACAAGCAAGAAUAUGAUAAAAGCAAUCUGAAUAUUGCGAGUAUAUAUGAAGUAUUGAUAAAGGUGGGGAUCCGUAAGCGGUCUUGGUCUGGUCGUUGGACACAAACGAAGUACACGAAGUUGCAAUGGCUAACUUUUAACUAAACAAAUCCCAAGGAAAAGCUACUAGAUGGAUCUACUUAUAUAGGAGCAAGGGGUGGCGGCCAAGGAGGUGGGAGGACGUCCCAAGGCAGCCUAAAACUAAAUCUAGGUCGUACAAGGCCAAUGGGCCCAAGUGGAGGUGAUGUAACACCUUUGGACUUGUAGUUUGACUUGGAUUCUGCUGCAGCAUCAGAUUGUUUCGUCCACAACUCAACGCUCCGGACGAAUUUGAAGGUGAUUCCAGUUGGGUUGGAAAGUGCACGAAAUCUAGUUUCCAACAAGAAAAGAAUCACCCAAUUUGGAGUCCGUAUGAAAAACUUGUGUGCGUUUUGAGUCAGGUAUGUCUGUGCAGUCCGAAUCUGAAUCCAGAACGUGAGAUACUUGGACUCUAUCUUCUCUUGGGCCAAAAGUGACGUGAGAGAACUUUUUGGACAGCAAAUAAACAUCUCUUUCUUCCUUAUCUUCAUAUGUGGAUUGUACAAAUGUCCCAUACACCUGCAAUUAGACAAAAAACAAAAGUGUGUGAAGUAUUUUUGUUCUGGAUAACAUAAAUAGAUUAUUGAAUAGUUUGCACUAGAAAUCACCUGACAAAUAUGCAUAUAUGCAAUAUUUUUGGUCAUAUCCAAGGUAGUCAUGUCCUCAUCAGACUUGGACUCUAUCUUCUCUUGGCCCAAAAGUGACGUGAGAGGACUUUUUGAACACAACCUAAACUUCUCCUUUUCCCUUAUCUUCAUAUGUGGAUUGUACAAAUGUCCCAUACACCUGCAAUUAGACAAAACACAAAAGUGUGUGAAGUAUUUUUGUUCUGGAUAACAUAAAUAGAUUAUUGAAUAGCUUGCAUUAGAAAUCACCUGACAAAUAUGCAUGUAUGCAAUAUUUUUGGUCGUAUCCAAGGUAGUCAUGUCCUCAUCAUCCUCCCCUUUUUGAAAACAAAGCCGUCCUCGGCGUUGCUUAAUCUGAAAUGUGGCUAACAAAAAAGACAAGGUGUACAUGUUGUAUAUGUAUAUGUCAUCCAGUUUAACUUCCCUUGAUUUUUGCACAUAUGACACAUGUAUACAUGAGUAACUUUCAUAGUUCAUAAAAACUAAAGCCAAAAAAUUAUCACAAGAAGUAGAAGGCAUGAAAAUAUUAGAACUCAGUUUGCACAUAUAAGUGAAGCUCUUAUUCAUUUCAAAAGAUUCGCAAUGUUCAUCCUUAAACCAUCCCAACUUUGGUGAAUAAACCUUACUUGCAUCAAAUUUACAUGCUACAACAUGCUUAAAUAAGCAAACAUGCAAUAAGUCAUUGGACACAGAAUCAUCACCAAGAUUGGAGGCCAUAUCAAAAUGAUUAAACAUUAGUUUUUUUGCAUCAACAGUUAAUUCAAUGGGUGCACUCAAAAUUGUUGAUAUUUCAGUUGUUUGAUCACAUGACGCAUUCAUGACAGUAACAAGAUUCUCUAAAAUAGGUGGUGUGCCCAAAUCAACAGGUAACUCAAUACAUGACGCAUUCAAGUUAACUAGGCAUGCAUCAUUCUCAUGUGAAGUUAUAUCAUCAAUACCUUUACUGUUACCUUGUGGCAAAGAUGUAGCUGAUGUAGGUACGGACGUUGACAAUGUACCAUACCCUUGAGAUGAUGUCGCACUCAUAAUCCGAGGUGCAAUGAUGGAGGAACCCACCGGCGGUGGUGAGCAUGAACUGGAAUAGUAGUUGUUGUAGUCACCUAAUGCAUCCUCCUGUAAUUGUCUCUCAAAGGUACAAGCACGGACAUACAUACCAGUAAUGCAACGAGGAAUAUACUGAAAUCUUGCCUGAAUAUCAUGGUUCAAACCACCAAAAAAUCUAUUCAUUGUAUCAUUCUCAGAUUCUUCUAUGUCACAAUGAUGCAUAUAAGAUUUGAACUCUUGGUAGUAAGCAUGAACAGUGUUGUUGCCUUGUUUAAAUUGUUCAAAUUUGUGAAGCAAUUCACGACGAUAAUAAGGAGGGAAAAAUUGUUGUCUCAUUACAGCUUUCAAAACCUUCCAAGUUGUGGGUUGGUUAUCAAUGUUUUUCUUACAAUGUACACUCCACCAAACAAAAGCAAAAUCAGUAAAUGCUCUAGUGGCUGCUCGCACUCGCUCAAGUUCAGAAAAGUCAUGGUGACUAAAAACUUGUUCUACUUCAAGCUCUCAAGCUAGAUAAGUAGCAGGAUUAAAUCUACCCUCAAAUGAUGGUAAAGAGAUAACCUGACCAUAUGCUUGUGUGUGUUGUCCCAACUCUCGUGAUGGUGAAGAUGUGUCCGUCAUCCAAGAACUUCUAUCUCUGGAACCUGUCAUGAUUAGUAGAAACAAGAACCAAAAUUCGAGAAUAAUGUUCCUAUGAACUACUAAGAUGUGGUUGUAAAGUGCUCACAGUAAAGCAAAUAUCAAUAUCUUACAAGUUCUUACCAUGCGGCAGGUGGUGACAGGCAACCAGCGGUGUCAAAUAACUCCGAAGAUUGUGUAAAACGAUUGCCAGGGGAACAUACGUAUACACGGUGUAGAAAUAUGUGGAGCUGGGUUGGCUAUAUAUGGUAGCAAAAGAUUAGCAAUAAUCAAUUCAGAGAUGCAAUGUUGAAUAAACGCUCAACGACGGUACUGUGCUGGUCCUAGGCUAGACCAAACUAGAGACGCGAGCCUAGAACACUAAUAAGGUCACGUCGUAGCACAACUAGCAUCAAUAAAUGAUAUGAAGUAGCUCUGGACAGCAAGAUAUAAGUGAAGAUCACAAUAGCAGUAGACCUAUUUAGAAGCUGAUGUUGAGGUGCCAAAUAUUGAACUAGCUUCUGCAACUAUUUAGAUGCGGCUCGUCGCUAGCUUUCAUUUGAGUACUCGCGGAGCCAAAACAGACUUCAUAUGAAGAAGUUAUGCCUGUUUUACUGAACAGUGCACAAAACAGAUUCCAAUCCGAAUUCAACUACGAGAUUGAGUCUAGAUAGAUCCGAUUUAUUUUUCUCCUCUCUUUUUUUUCUCACACUUUUUUUUCUUUUCCUUUCUUUUUUUUCUCUGACUUUUUUUUACUUUUUUUUUCUCUCGUUUUUUUUCUCUAUCUUUUUUUUCUCUCUCCCUCUUUCCAAAACAAACUAGAUAAGAUGUAGAGUGGAUCAAGCGAAGAUGGGAACGAUCUCAACUAUGAUUAUGACUAUGAAUGGUGGGUAGCACGUGGAGGAAAUUGAUGGAUGGGUGGUGGACAGCGGAAGGGAUAAUGAUGCAGCGGCGACGUGACUAAUGUGAACAGAACUUGAAACUCUAAACGACCUAAACACUAAGACCAGCAACUCGACACGACGAUGCAACCGAUAAUUCAACUAUGCAAGCAAUGAAAAGAAAAUUGCAAAGGCUCGGACUGGCUUGGACAAAGGAUGAAUAGAUCUAACUCUUUUUUGUGGAUUUUUCUUGGACAAUAUGUAAGAAAAUAAAUCUAAUCUAGGAAAACUGGAAAUUCUCACCGAGCAACCUGAAAACUGAUACCACUUGAUAGAGGCGAGGGUCCCGAUCUUUCCAUGAGAUGAUAACUAUCGAUUUGGUGGAGACGACUUUGACGAUCCGACUACAAACGAGCACGACGUUGCGCCUUAGCAAUCGCUAAACCAAUCUCCUGAGGUUACUGAUGAUGCCGGAAGCACGGUCAGCCUGAACACGAAGGUCUAUUCCUGCAAGCAAUCGAAGAACGAGCAAGAAUAUGAUAAAGCAAUCUGAAUAUUGCAAAUAUAUAUAUGAGGUAUUGAUAAUGGUGGGGAUCCGUAAGCGGUCUUGGUCUGGUCGUUGGACACAAACGAAGUACACGAAGUUGCAAUGGCUAACUUUUAACUAAACAAAUCCCAAGGAAAAAGCUACUAGAUGGAUCUACUUAUAUAGGAGCAAGGGGUGGCGGCCAAGGAGGUGGGAGAACGUCCCAAGGCAGCCUAAAACUAACCCUAGGUCGUACAAGGCUCAUGGGCCCAAGUGGAGGUGAUGCAACACCUUUGGGCUUGUAGUUUGACUCGGAUUCUGCUGCAACGUCAGAUUGUUUCGUCCGUAACUCAACGCUCCUGACGAAUUUGAAGGUGAAUCCAAUUGGGUUGGAAAGAGCACGAAAUCUAGUUUCCAACAAAAAAAGAAUCACUCAAUUCGGAGUCCGUAUGAAAAAGUUGUUGCCGUUUUGAGUCAGGUAUGUCUGUGCAGUUCGAAUCUGAAUCCAGAACGUGAGAGACUUGGACUCUAUCUUCUCUUGGCCCAAAAAUGACGUGAGAGGACUUUUUGAACACAACCUAAACUUCUCCUUUUCCCUUAUCUUCAUAUGUAGAUUGUACAAAUGUCCCAUACCCCUGCAAUUAGACAAAACACAAAAGUGUGUGAAGUAUUUUUGUUCUGGAUAACAUAAAUAGAUUAUUGAAUAGUUUGCAUUAGAAAUCACCUGACAAAUAUGCAUGUAUGCAAUAUUUUUGGUCGUAUCCAAGGUAGUCAUGUCCUCAUCAUGAUCUAGCACUUGUGUGAUCAAUUCCUUGUUGGUUGAGUGAUUCUCUCUCGUUUUCCCCCGUGUUUCCCUUUGUGCUUCCGCGUGUUCUUCGUGAUUCCCCGUAGGAUCCACUCCAAACGUGAAAGAUCGACGCUAUAGGGUUCCACCCUACAUCAACUACCUCCCGGCAACCGCCCAACUACUACUCGGGUGGAACAACCGGCCCACCCUCUGUGAUCGAGCGGAGCAAGGCCGGUGUUACACCGGUUGUACCGGUUUCUGCCAAAAGACCGGAACAACCGCCCCGAUGACCGGAACAACCGCUGCCCCUUCGGCAUACACCUCCAGAUCCAGCGCCCGGGCUUCGAGCGGAACUACCGCCCCCGCCUGACCGGUACUACCGCCCCGCACGAGCUCCCAGUGGAACUACCAGCCACAUGACCGAUACUACCGGCCUGUCUGCGCACAGUGUAAUGGGCCGAGCCCAUGUAUCCCUUCACCCUCACUGAUAGAGGCAAAGGUGUCCUGUCUUUUGAUGAGAUGGUGGCUAUCGUUUUGGAGGAAGUCGACUUUGACAAUCCGACUACGAACGUGCGAGGACGUCGCGCCUUAGCAAUCGCUAAACCAACUCCAAGAGGUUAUUGACCACGCCGGAGAACGAUCAACCUGAUCACGAAGGUCUGUUUCCUGCAGGCAAACGAAGAACAAGCAAGAAACUAACAUUGCAAUCUGGAUAUUGCGAAUAUAAGAUGAAAGCUUUAUUGAUCAAGGUGGGGUUCUAUGACGCCUUUGUCUGGUCGUUGAACACAAACGAAGUACGCGAAGUUGCAGCUAUGGCCAACUUUAAUCUAAACAAAACCCAAAGUCUAAAUGGUGCCCUAAGGGCUGUAUAUAUGGAGGAAGAGGGGGUGAAUUUCGUGGCCCUUGGUGGAGGGGUCCGAAACUAAACCUAUCUCUUGUUUCCCCACACAUACGGACUCUAAAAAUAGCCUAUACUUAUGUAUUUCGAAAUUACAUGGGCCUGGCCCAAUAAUAACGUGACGCAGCACCUAGAAUAGCCUCUGGGCGAAAUUUAUGAAGUGGAAUCUUGUAUAUUUCGUCCAAGGCUUUAUGCACUCAUUAUGGUGGCUUCAAAGUCCUAAAAUCAUCACUUGUAACUUCAUUCUUGUUCCUCUUGCGCAUGCCAUCAUCUCCAUGCUUGUUCUUGCUCCAAUGUUCAUCCUUCUCCAAGCUAGGCCCUUCAUUUGUAAGAAAAACAAAUGUAUCAAAUUUAGGCAGCAUCAUAUUCUCAUGAACAUUAGAAUCAUUACCAAGAAACGAAAGUACCUGGUAAUUUAGUUGGCGUGCGCGAGCUCUAGUAAUUGGUCCAGUAUGUAUAGCAGGAGGGGCUGUGGGUGUAACAAUGGUAUUGAUGUCCUCAUCAUCCUCCCGUUCUUGAAAUGAUGUCGUCGUCGACGGAAGUUCAUCUUCCUCACCCAAAUAAGGCUUCAAAUCUGCAAUGUUAAAAGUGGGACUAACCCCAAAAUCUGCAGGCAGCUCAAGUUUAUAUGCAUUAUCAUUUAUUUUCUCCAACACCUUAAAGGGACCAUCAGCACGUGGCAUUAGCUUUGAUUUGCGCAAAUCAGGAAAUCUAUCCUGACACAAAUGUAACCAAACAAGAUCUUCAGGUGCAAACACAACAUGUUUUCUACCCUUAUCUCCAUCAAGUUUAUAUUUAGCAUUCACACGCUCAAUGUUUUCCUUAGUUAACUCAUGAAUUUUUAAAAUCAAUUCAGCACGUUGUUUAGCAUCAAAAUUAACCUUCUCCGAAGAUGGAAGAGGCAACAAAUCAAUAGGUGCACGAGGUAGGAAACCAUACACAACUUCAAAAGGGCACAUCUUAGUAGUAGAAUGCAAUGAACGAUUAUAAGCAAAUUCAAUAUGAGGCAAGCAUUCCUCCCACAUUUUCUUAUUAUUCUUCAAAACAGCCCUAAGCAUAGUAGACAAUGUUCUAUUGACUACUUCAGUUUGUCCAUCAGUUUGGGGGUGACAAGUAGUACUAAAAAGCAGUUUAGUCCCCAACUUAGCCCAUAAACAUCUCCAAAAGUGGCUAAGAAAUUUAGUAUCACAAUCUGAAACAAUAGUAUUUGGCACACCAUGCAAGCGAAUAAUUUCAUGAAAGAACAAAUCAGCAACAUUAACAGCAUCAUCGCUUUUAUGACAUGGUAUAAAGUGUGCCAUUUUCAAGAAUCUAUCCACGACAACAAAUAUGCUAUCCCUCCCCUUCUUUGUUCUAGGUAAACCUAAAACAAAGUCCAUAGAUAUAUCCUCCCAAGGAACACUAGGUACAGGCAAAGGCAUAUAUAAACCAUGAGGAUUGAGUCGUGACUUAGCUUUUUGACAUGUAGUGCAGCGAGCAAUAAAACGCUCAACAUCCCGUCUCAUCUUUGGCCAAAAGAAAUGUGUAGCAAGUACGUCCUCCGUCUUCUUCACACCAAAGUGUCCCAUUAGUCCUCCUCCAUUGAUGCGGAGCAUCCGACGAUCAUCCCCAUGUACACUCGAGCCUACGCCAUUGGACCUAAGGUGAAUUCGCUCCUUUCCGAAUCUUCCCUUUCCGCAUGUAAGACAUGGAUGCUACUUCAAGCGCGGACCUUGUGCAUACUCAGGUACACCUGAGGAGACCAUGGAGAGCCCAAGGACCAAGGCCAAGCGUGCGCGGAAGCGAAGGAAGGAGAAGGAAGAAGAGCCAGCUGCUACAACGGCCGGACAUCCGGCCCAGCCCGGACAUCUGGCCCUUGCCCCGGAAAUCCGGCAUCGGCUAUCCAGAGAACACCGAAAAGGACCAGCGCAGCCCGGACAUCCGGCUCUUCCUGAAGCCCCGGACAUCCGGCCCCCUCGCCCGGAAAUCCGGCCCCUCCAUCACCGAACGCAUCUGGAAGACCCAGGCCAGCCCGGACAUCCGGCCACCCAGCCCGGACAUCCGGCCCGUCACGAAGCCCCGGACAUCCGGCCCCAGCCCGGACAUCCGGCACCUGCCUGUGCGCAGAGAAAGGGCCAAGGGCCCAUGUAUCCCCCUCUCACUUACCCCUUCGUGGGCUAGCACUAUAUAUACUCCCCCACCUCCUCCUAGUUAGAGUUAGCAUUGGAUUAGCUCAUUUUGUGUGAGAGCCUUUGCUCAUCCACUUGGAUACUUCUCCUCGGAGAUCACGACCUCUCCGGAGAAGAUCCCCAAGCGGAUUCAAGACCCCUCUUUAGGGAAGAACAUCAAGGCCUCCUUUUGGAGAUGAACGGUUCCUUUGUAUCCUUACCUUAGUUGACUUUGUAUCUUGUGGAUCUCAUAUGUGUGUGGUGAUCUAGCACUUGUGUGAUCGAUUCCUUGUCGGUUGAGUGAUUCUCUCUCGUUUUCCCCGUGUUUCCCCUUGUGCUUCCGCGUGUUCUUCGUGAUUUCUCCGUAGGAUCCACUCCAAACGUGAAAGAUCAACGCUAUAGGGUUCCACCCUGCAUCAUUAUGGUAUCAUGAGCCAGGUUUAUCACGUAUUUGGAGUCCCUCCCACCGUUUUCUAGCCUUCUUUUGCUUGAUUUCGUCCUAAAUCCGAAAAUCCCCACCAAAAAUAGCCCCCAAUUUUUUUUGUGAUUUGUUGGUUUGAUGAUGUUUUGUUGAUUUUGAUCCAUGGAUUUGCUUGGUUUCAAGUGGAUCUAGCUUUCCCCCAAGUUUCCCCACUUUCCAUCCACGAAAUCUCUCCGAUUUUGCCCCCGAAAUCUCAAUUUUCCGCCCCAAAAUCGAGUUCCUCAAGUUCAUCCUCGGAUUUGGAGCCCGGACAUCCGGCCCAAGCCCCGGACAUCCUGCCAGCCCGGAAAUCCGGCCAAUAGCCCGGACAUCCGGCUCCUGGAGCGCAAUUUCGCGCCCGGUUCUGGACAUCAGGUCCCGGAAAUCCGGCCCGACCCCCGGAUGUCCGGCCCCUAGGAUUUCAGAUUUUCCCGUUUCACCGUUUUGUCCAUAACUAAUUCAUCCGGAGUCCGUUUUUGACGUUCUUUAGCUCGUUUUGAAGCUAUUGACAUCCCCCACCCCAUAAAAAUACUACCACCACCAUUUGACUUCAUCAAAUUUUUGAAAAUUUGGCAAGUUUGCCUAGGCCCUCCACCAUAUCAUCCGCAUAACCACCACCGACUUCCGCAACCUAACCCAAUUUGUUCACCAUUGCAUAUGUGGUUGUUUGAGUUGUGAUUAGAGUCUCCUAAGGUGUUUCGGCUACUUAGGGACGAUUGCUUCUUCAUCAACCACUUCCACCAUUUCCGCAUAACCGUGCCCACCAUAAACUUCCGCCACCACCAACUUAACCCAAUUGUUGUUUGAGCUUUUUCGAGUUGUGGCUUGUGUCUCCUAAGGUGUUUCGGCUACUUAGGGACGGCAACUUCAACUCCGACACGUGUAUAGCCCAUUUAUUCCACUUCCGCAUUGCCAAGUGCAAACCACCACCGCUCUCCGCUACCACCAUUUUGACAUUUGACGUUUGAGAUUUUGAGUUUGCGGUUUUUUCCGUUUCCUAAGGUGUUUCGGCUACUUAGGGACGAGUCUCCAUCAUCUUGGUUUCUACAUCAAGAUCACUGCUACUCAUCAUCGCCGGACGGUAACCUCCAUAUCAUCUUGGUAUCGUGGUAUCCCUCCAUUGUAUAUUCCCCUUGCCAUUGCAUUGUUAACCCCUAGCCUUACUUUUGCGUUACUUGCCUAUCGAGACUAGCCAUUUGAGUAUUGCCGGCAACGUUACUUGUGCACAUUAGUGAUCCACCAUCCAUUGCAUACAUACCAUAUCAUCUUGGUAUCAUAUCAUCCAUUGUGCCUCAAGUUUGUUCCCGCAUAUACACAAUUGCUAUCUUGGUUUGUGCAUUGUGCAAAAGUGGCCAUAGAAAAAAAAGGAGAAAAAAAAGCUUUUAAGCAAAAAGAGAGCAAAGAGCUCGUGAGCAAGUGCCAUAGCAUCAUACCAAAAUCUACAUCAUAUGAUAUCGUGCUUGAGAGAAACACCGGGAACCAUACGUACAUAGCAUACUUGGGUUAGAAAGUUUUUCCAUUUUGCAUCUUGUAGGUUGUGCACAAGUGUCGUAUCCGCCUAUUGAGCAAUCGUGCUAGCGUCUCUCUUGAGUUGUGCAACACGAGCGUUUUGGUGGAUUCCACAUUUUGAGCUCAUUCCUUGGUUGCACGACCCCAUUUAUCUAUUCGUGUGUGUGUUUCUGUGUACCUUUCAUUGCUAUUGGUCCAUUUGUUUCACUUGCGAAUUUGUGAAUCUUUUUCAACAUUAUUGACUCUUGCUAACAUUUUGCAUCAAAUUUUUGUGCCACUAUCCUCACCGAGCUCCACUAUAAGCUUUACUUGUGUAGGUGUGAGAAUCGACAAGGAUCGGUACCAAUAGUGCUAUUUCAUUGUCCACAUUUGAGUGAACUUGAUUCAUCUUCAACUUUGGUCAAAGGUACAUUGGUAUUAGUUCUUCUCUUUCUCCCACUCAUAUUUGCUCGAGUCUUGUGAUGGAUAGGCAAGGCAUUUCCUCUCCGGUCUACGACAACAACGACGGCGUGAACAACUACAUCUCAAAAGCGUCAAUCUUCGAUCUACAACGACAAAUGCAAGGCGCACAAUCAAGAUUGCGAGAGCGCAUCGAGAACAUCUCCAUCGACAUUCGUCACUCCGAAGCAAGGAAAAGGGACUACAUCGACAAGAAGCUUUCCGCACAUAAAGAGGAGCAAGAUGCAAGGAUGGAGGAGAUUAGAGCUUUGAUCAAGUCUUCUUCCACUUCAUCAUCCUCAAGACGACGACGGUCAAGCCACAAGUCUUCGGAGCGCCAAAAAGAUGCAAGCGCAAGUCGUCCACAUCUACAUGGUGAUCAUCAUCACGUUCACGAUCCACAUCGUCAUGAAGGCCGAGUCACCUCCAAGCAACAUGUGCACGACGACGACGGACGACAUCUACUACGAGCUCAAGCACGACAACGACAUCAUCAUCAUGAAGAUGCUCCACAAGCGCAAAUGCACAAGUCCCAACAAGACCUACUUCACGCCAAGUCCAAGCUUCAAGAGCACAAAAGAAGACCGCGAGACGACCACUACCAAGACGGCGCUACGGCUACAACAACCACUUCGGCAUCUUCGCCAAGUGUUCUCAAGGCAUCUUCGCCUUUGGACGUACGGCAUCUUCGCCUACUUCCCACGUGUACGCCUACUUCGACUUCAUCAAGUACUACGAGCGAGGGCGACACUUCCAUCUUCGGAAGCCCCCCAAGGAAGAUGGCCGAGCAUGGGAAACUCCCUUCGGUCAUGGAGACGAGCUAUGAGGUGCCACAUCAUAUGGGCCUCCCACACCAAGACGGUGACAAGACGGUCGAGCAAGGGCCAUCCCCUUCGACCACGGCGAUAGGAGUUGAGCAUGGAGACAUUUGCACCUACAUCUCUCCGACACACACAAAUGUCGAGAUGCCCCAAGUGCCAUGUGAGGAGAGCCACCACCCCAUGAGUGACAUGAGUGACUCCACCAUACGUGAAAUUGAGAGCAUUUCCUAUGAGAGGAUAAGUGUGACCACCACUAGCCCCACACAUGAGAGCAUGCCACACAUCCUAUGUGAGGUUAAGCGCCAUUCGAGUGACUCCACCAACCAUAUGAGUGAGAGCACCCUUGAGGGAGUGAGUGAGCCACAACACUUAGUGAUUGAGGUAGUUGAGACGGCAUGUGAGGCCACUAUGAUUUCUAACGACUUACCCUCUACUCCUUGUGUGUUUUCUCCUUUGGUGCUAGGUCUCCUACAUGACGACACGCCUACCAUUGAUGAGUCCAUCCCUCCUAUGGAGAGGACGAUGGCCAUGAUGGACGAUGAUACACCCCCCACAUGGUUCCAUCAAGAUGAAGAUGACAAUGAGAUGAUCUUCAACACCUCACCUACAACACAUGAGCUAUGCACCAAAGGUAACAUAGGUGAUGGUGCUUCUCUUGUCCCACUAGUGGACACCCUUGACAACGAUUGCUACCAUGAUGUUGACCCACCUAUUGCCAUGCUUCAUGCUAGUGAAACUCCUUCAUGCCUUGACUUACCUAUUUACGAUGAAUAUGAUGAUGAGCAUGUUGAGUUGCCUAGUUGUGAUGCUAUGCUCCAUAGUAUAUCAUGUGAAAAUUCUUUUGGUCACAUCAUGUUUGACAACCCAUUGAACUUGUCAUAUGCUAUGAGUGAGAUCUCCCAUAUUUCAUCAUUACAAUCUCAACAUAGUAACUAUGCAUGCCCCAUUAAAAUAUGCAUUGUUUUGGAUGUUGUCAAUAUUCUCCAUGUGAUGUUUCCAUUAAUGCUCAUGAGGAGACCCCCAUAGUUUCCUCAUACAUAUUAGGAGAUCUUGAUGCAUUCCAUACUUUGCAUGGUUCACAAAAUUGCUUGCACCAUAUGCAUUCCAUGAAUAACAAUGCUCUAGAUAUUUCUCAUGAUGCAUUACACAAUUUGAGUCUCCAUUAUGUGAUACAUAAUAACAAACCUCUCAUGAUGGAUGACAUGUUUCUAUAUCACGCAUCUCAUUUAUUUGAGCAUUGGCUAUUUAGUGCUAACUGACACAUGCAUGUGCGCAUCAUGAUGGAUGAUGUGUACAUAUACCAUGCACACACAAUUUUCUCUUUGUCUUUGUUUUAUGUAGGUACUCAUGUAUACUCGUCAACCUCUCAACCCCAAGAGUUGACGAAACGAGCUCUUGAGAGCAACGAUGCUUUGGGAUCACGUGGACUAUCCUUACCACCAUUCCCUUCGCGCAAGGACUACGCGCAUCUCUUCUACUUGGCUCUCACACGGCUAUGGGCUAUUUACCACUUGUCACCUUAUGCUCAUUUUACUGUGUUCACUUUGCAUGUUAUGCUUGCUCCUAUGCCUUUGCCAUGCAAUUGUGACCCUUGCUUGCAUAUACCCAUGAUUCACCAUUAUGCUACUUCUAUGUGUAUUUGCAUGCUUGGUGGAGAUCCUUGUUGCUAUUGCCAUGCUUAUCAUGUGCCCCAUGCUAUUGAUACUUGUUGUGUUCGGAGAGUCAUGAUGACCCAUUGCUAUUUACAUAUGGCUUCUCACCAAUACAUUGAUGAUAUUUUUCUCAUAUCUUGCUUUCAUGCUUGUGAUAUGUCAUGUGAAUUAUUCUUGCACACUAUUAGCACCAAUGACAUGCUUGCCAUGAUUCCUCCUAGUAUGUUGCAUCUUCGCACUACUAGCUUGCUUGACUUGAUUGCUAUGAUUGCUUGCUUGGUUGCAUCACCCAUGUUUCACUCUUACUCGCUUUCUUGGGUUGAUGACAUAUAUGUUGAUGCGUCUCACUUGAUUUGUCAUGAUCAUUGUCUCCUGUCUCCAUUAGUUGCAUCUCUCAUAUCACCUUGUAUUGAGUGCCAACUUGCUAUGCUUAUUGAUCUUGGAGACUUGGACACUAUACUUGUGAUGCAUGCUUGUUUGAUUGAGCCUCUUGUAUUUGGUUGUUAUCGCAUCAUAUGCUUACAUACCAUGCCAAACUCCCUUGUACUUUCUUAUGAUGAGCAUGAUGAAUACACUUGUUGGAUAUCUUACCACUCGAAUGAUAGGUUUUGCAUUUCCGCUAACCUCAUUUGUUUUUCCGAGUGUUUGUCAUGUUCUUUCAUUUUGGAGGAUUCACAAGGCGGUGCCGUUAUGCGACAUAUUUGUUAUGUGAAGGCAUACACGAUGUGCGACACCAACAUUUUCGACAUUCUCAUAAAGGUGAACUCCUUCUCUUUGAGCCAUCCUCAAAUAUGCAUAUUGGAUGGGUCACUCUUUCAUUGUUGUUUCCUUCUUGUUGUCUACAUGAUACAUUUCGUGAACGGAGGAGCGACAUUGGAGAUUGGCUACAUGAACCUUCACAUUGAGGAGUGCUCACACUUAUUGGAUGCACCUUCGGUCUUCCACUCUUGCCACAACAUCGAGCAUUGGUAUACCAACACCUCCAUAUUUGUUGAUUGUGCUCAUACAUGUCAUGCUCGAUGGACAUAUCAUACUCACCACAAGUUUGCACCUUAUGCAUGGAUUGACUCACAUUAUGAUUGCCUUGUUGCAUCUUGUAUUCCCAUGUCAUCCAUGAUAUAUGAGCUUGUUCACUUCCUUAGCAAAUUUGUUGUGAUCUUCCUUGAUGGCAUAUUCAUAUAUCAUGAUCAUAUUGUCCACCAUCAAUUGCAUGAUGACAUUCACAUAUUGAGCAUCCAUUGCUAUGUUCAUGCUUUUGAUGCACCAUCCCAUUAUGACAUCAGUUUGCACCGUGGUUGCAUUGCUCAUACUCAUAACACAAUUGUGUGCACAAUGAUUGCAUUUGUUCCCAUGAAUGCUUUGCAUACCAUUCUAGAUCAUCUUGAUAAGCUUCAUGCGCUUUGUCACGAACUACCUUGCCGCACGGACUCAUUCUUACAUGAUGGACACUUUGUGUGCGCUAACCAUUGUAUUUCCAAGUGUACUUUGUGUUUGCUCCUUUUGCAUGUAUACCAAUCAGGAGACACAUUGGAGUACUUGGAUUGUGCCAUGCCUUCAACUUCGUCCAACUACAAGUCCAUCCACGACAACCGUUUCCAUGGUGAUGAGGAACACGGUCCGAGGUCGGAUCUUUCCCAAGGGGGGGGGGAUAUGAUGCGGAGCAUCCGACGAUCAUCCCCAUGUACACUCGAGCCUACGCCAUUGGACCUAAGGUGAAUUCGCUCCUUUCCGAAUCUUCCCUUUCCGCAUGUAAGACAUGGAUGCUACUUCAAGCGCGGACCUUGUGCAUACUCAGGUACACCCGAGGAGACCACGGAGAGCCCAAGGACCAAGGCCAAGCGUGCGCGGAAGCGAAGGAAGGAGAAGGAAGAAGAGCCAGUUGCUACAGCGGCCAGACAUCCGGCCCCAGCCCGGACAUCCGGCCCUUGCCCCGGAAAUCCGGCAUCGGCUAUCCAGAGAACACCGAAAAGGACCAGCGCAGCCCAGACAUCCGGCUCUUCCUGAAGCCCCGGACAUCCGGCCCCCUCGCCCAGAAAUCCGGCCCCUCCAUCACCAAACGCAUCUGGAAGACCCAGGCCAACCCGGACAUCCGGCCACCCAGCCCGGACAUCCGGCCCGUCACGAAGCCCCGGACAUCCGGCCCCAGCCCGGACAUCCGGCACCUGCCUGUGCGCAGAGAAAGGGCCAAGGGCCCAUGUAUCCCCCUCUCACUUACCCCUUCGUGGGCUAGCACUAUAUAUACUCCCCCACCUCCUCCUAGUUAGAGUUAGCAUUGGAUUAGCUCAUUUUGUGUGAGAGCCUUUGCUCAUCCACUUGGAUACUUCUCCUCGGAGAUCACGACCUCUCCGGAGAAGAUCCCCAAGCGGAUUCAAGACCCCUCUUUAGAGAAGUACAUCAAGGCCUCCUUUUGGAGAUGAACAGUUCCUUUGUAUCCUUACCUUAGUUGACUUUGUAUCUUGUGGAUCUCAUAUGUGUGUGGUGAUCUAGCACUUGUGUGAUCGAUUCCUUGUCGGUUGAGUGAUUCUCUCUCGUUUUCCCCAUGUUUCCCCUUGUGCUUCCGCAUGUUCUUCGUGAUUUCUCCGUAGGAUCCACUCCAAACGUGAAAGAUCGACGCUAUAGGGUUCCACCCUGCAUCAUCCAUGCACCUCCUGCAACGACAAAAGACGAAUGGAGCUAGCUGGAAUGCAUAGCUUGUUAGCACGGAACACAAAUCCAUCAUUAACGACGAACUUGUUCCAUGUUCUUCCUUCUUUACAAUUCUGCAAUACAUCUUUAAAAUCAGCAUCAUGCACAUAUUGAUCUUUGAUGGUCUCCAAACCAAAUAUUUUGAAGUCAAGUUGUGAAAGCAUAGUAUAGCGACGAGACAAUGCAUUAGCAAUAACAUUUUCUUUACCCUUCUUGUGUUUAAUGACAUAAAGGAAAGUCUCAAUGAAUUUAACCCAUUUAGCUUGUCUACGAUUUAGUUUAGCUUGACUUUUAAUAUGUUUCAAAGAUUCGUGAUCAGAAUGUAUAACAAAUUCUUUGGGCCAUAAAUAAUGUUGCCAUGUUUCUAAAGCCCAAACAAGAGCAUAUAAUUCUUUAUCAUAAGUAGAAUAAUACAGACUAGGCCCACUCAAUUUUUCAGAAAAGUAUGCAACAGGUUUGCCAUCUUGUAAUAACACACCUCCUAAUCCAAUUCCACUAGCAUCACAUUCAAGCUCAAAAGUCUUAUUAAAAUCAGGAAGUUGGAGUAAAGGAGCAUGUGUCAACUUAUCUUUCAAUAUCGUGAAGGCUUCUUCCUGUGCGGUACCCCAAACAAAAGGCACAUCUUUCUUUGUAAGCUCAUUGAGAGGUGCAACAAUGGUGCUGAAAUCUCUCACAAAACGCCUAUAGAAUCCAGCGAGGCCAAGAAAACUCCUCACUUGUGUGACCGUUUUGGGCUGCGACCUACUCUCAAUAGCUUCAAUCUUGGCUUUAUCAACUUCAAUUCCCUGUGGAGUAACAACAUAGCCAAGAAAAGACACUCGGUCGGUGCAAAAGGUGCACUUCCCAAGGUUACCAAACAAACGUGCAUCACGUAGAGUAAUAAAAAUAGCACGUAAAUGUUCCAAAUGUUCCUCCAAAGAUCUGCUACAAAUCAAUAUGUCAUCAAAGUAAACUACCACAAAUCGUCCAAUGAAAGCACGUAAAACUUCGUUCAUUAAUCUCAUGAAAGUACUAGGUGCAUUAGUUAACCCAAAAGGCAUGACUAACCACUCAUAUAAUCCAAACUUAGUUUUAAAUGUUGUUUUCCAUUCAUCUUCAAAUUUCAUACGAAUUUGAUGGUAUCCACUAUGCAAAUCAACUUUGGAGAAUAUUGUAGAGCCACUCAAUUCAUCAAGCAUAUCAUCUAGCCUUGGAAUAGGAUGACGAUAACGAAUAGUAAUAUUAUUAAUGCCUCUACAAUCAACACACAUACGUGAUGUACCAUCCUUUUUCAGCACUAGAAUAAUAGGAACAUCACAAGGACUAAGGGAUUCGCGUAUAUAACCUUUGUCGAGCAGCUCCUGUACUUGACGCAUAAUCUCCUUCGUCUCCGCUGGAUUGGUACGGUAUGGUGCACGGUUGGGUAAUGAUGCACCGGGAAUUAAGUCAAUCUGAUGCUCAAUCCCUCGAAUGGGGGGUAAUCCCGGUGGCACGUCUUGUGGAAAGAUGUCAGCGAACUCCUGCAAACUGUUGGUGACAGCAGGAGGCAAAGAGGAAGGCACGUCCUCGAAUGAAAAUAAUGCCUCUUUGCACACAAAAGCAUAGCAAACAGAUUUACUAAAAUCUAGCUCAUCAAUUUAGUGGCAAGUAAACAUGCACUUUUCAAUUUAAUUUCAGAAGCAACACUAGAUGGUUAACUAUUAGGCUUCAUUUGUUGCUCAAAUUCUUUUGCCACAAUCUGAUUUUCAGUCUUAUUUUUCUCCUGUUUUGCUUUAUUAGCUCUAUUAAUAUCAUCUUUCAAAAUGGACUCAGGAGUCAUAGGAAGCAAAGUAAUAUUUCUAUCCUUAUGAACAAGAGUAUACUGAUUGUUUCUACCAUGGUGUACAGAAUUUUUAUCAAAUUUCCAUGGUCGACCAAGUAAUAAGGAACAUGCUUGCAUAGGUACAACAUCACAAUCAACAUAAUCAGCAUAUGUAGAGAUACUAAAAUGCACAUGAACAGUAUGUGUUACCUUAACCUUGCCGCUGUUGUUGAACCAUUGUAUGUAGUAAGGAUGUGGAUGUGGUCUUGUUGUGAGAGAUAGCUUCUGCACCAUCUCCAUGCUAGCCAAGUUGUUGCAGCUCCCUCCAUCUAUGAUGACGCGCACAGAACGUUCUAUCACAACUCCCUUUGUAUGGAACAAAUUAUGCCUCUGAUUUUGCUCAGCUUGUGUAACCUGCACACUCAAAACACGUUGAGCAACUAAACAUUCAUACCUGUCAGCAUCUUCAGGAGCCAUGUAUUGCAUCUCAUGAUCAGAAUCAUCUCCACCGUGUUCUUCACUUGUAAUAAGGGCUAAAGUCUCCUCAUCAUAGUCACUAGCAGACUCAUACCCACCAUCCUCAGUAGCAAUCAUCACACGCUGAGAUUUGCAUUCUCGCGCAUAAUGUCCUCUUCCCUUACAACAAUGACAAAUAAUAUCACUUGUGUGCCCUAUUGAUGCCAUGGAUGAAGAAGAGCUCUGCGCAGGCCCGACAGGUGCGCUCUUGGCAGAUAGUGGUGGUUGUGCCUGCUUUCGUGUAUCACGGCUGGAGGUAGCAGCUGAUGGAGGUGCUGGUGCAGUGGAAGUAGAGGAUGCACGCGGUGUCCAUGAUGAAAGUCGACCUGCAGAAAAGUUAGUUCGCGACAAUGCUUGUCGAUCCUGCACUUCACGUUCAGCUUUACAAGCAAGAUGGAAUAAACGAGUGAUAUUAGUAUACUCCUUAUACUCUAGAAUGGUCUGAAUCUCUCUAUUUAAUCCACCCAUAGAACGUGCAAGCAUAGCUUCAUUUUCCUCAACAAUACCACAUCUAAUCAUGCCAGUUUGUAAUUCCUGAUAAUAUUCUUCUACAGAAUUUUUUCCUUGUCUUAAACGCUGCAAUUUUUGAAGCAAUUCACGUUGAUAAUAUAUUGGAACCCAACGAGUACGCAUAGCAGUUUUCAAAGCAGCCCAAGUAGUUGGAAUAGGAUAUAAUCUACAAUGUUCAGACCACCAUACACAUGCAAAACUAGUGAAAGCACAAACAACAACAGCAACCCGUCUCUCCUCGGGAUAUUGUAAACAUGUAGAACGCUGUUCAGUUUCUAACUCCCAAGUAAGAUAUAUAUCAGGAACAUAUCUACCCUCAAAUGGUGGAAUAUUCAAUUUCAGUUUCGGAAUAUGGUCAUUAUCUCGUACCUGAGGUGGUGGUGUAGGCCUACCAUUGCGAACAUAUACCUGAGGUCGACCUGCUGGUGGUGGUGCUGGUGGCUGCACGUAGUUCUGAUUUUGAUCAACCUCAUCCUCGUAAUAGUCCACCUCUGAAGUAACAGCAGGAGCUACAGAAGCACCAAUAGCAGUAGCAGCGGCACCAGAAUUUUGUCCUGGUUCAAUAGGAACACGCAGUGCUCGCCCUACUGUAUCGCGGCGUAGAACUGGUUAUGGGAGACGUUUGAGUAAUUCAUCAAACUUGGCGCCCAACUUGGUGUCAAUUGUCUUCUCAAUGUCAUCCAUCCUUUCCAAUGCCUUUCCAAAACUGGCCAUCACGUCUUCCUCCUGUUGGAAUAGGAUAUAAGCUACAAUGUUCAGACCACCAUACACAUGCAAAACUAGUGAAAGCACAAACAACAACAGCAACCCGUCUCUCCUCGGGAUAUUGUAAACAUGUAAAACGUUGUUCAGUUUCUAACUACCAAGUAAGAUAUAUGUCAGGAACAUAUCUACCCUCAAAUGGUGGGAUAUUCAAUAUCAGGAACAUAUCUUACCCAGCAGCAGGUGGUGAUCGGCAACCGUUGUAGUCAAAACUCUCAAAGCUUGGAUAGAGCGAUUACCAGGGAGAAUCAAACACACGACAUAGAUGUAUGUGGAGCUGGGAAGGCUUAUAAUAUGGUAGCAAAAAGGGUCAGCAAUAAUCAAUUCAGAGAUGCAAAGUUGAAUAAACGUUCAACGAUGGUACUGUGCUGGUCCUAGGCUAGACCGUGCUAGAGAUGCGAGCCUAGAACACUAACAAAAUCACGGCGCUGCACGUAAACAAGGGAGGAGCAUACUCUGAAUUUUUUUUCUCUUUUUUUGCACUUCUUUUUCCUCUUUUUUUUGCUCCGCAACAAUUUUUUUUUGAAAAAGUUUACAAAUGGUCUAGAAACUGCCUAGCCAGAAUUUUUUUAUUUUGAAACUGGAGCUAUUUUUCUACUGUGGGUAACCCGAAAGUUCGGAAGUCCUUCUCUAUCACGACUCGGAGUAUGGCGUGAUCUGGAAAUCGAAAACAAAGCAAAAAAUACUGGACUCGGACUAGGACUGGCGGCGGAGAUGAAUCUGGUGGAACUCGGACUGGUGGCGGAGAUGAAUCGGGUGGAACUCGGACUGGUGGCGGAUAUAUGUUGCAGGUGGACUCGGAUUGGCGUGAUGGAGGUGGAUGAUGGUAGAUGGCAGUAGUGAUGACGAUGGUGGUAUAUGGCAGCGGUGAUGACAAUGGUGGUAUAUGGCAGCGGUGAUGAUGAUGAUGCGGCGGCGGCGUGACAACUUGUGAACAGAAGUCAAAACUCUAAAGGACUAGACACUAAGACCAGCAACUAGACUCGACGAUGCAACCGCAAAUUCAAGAACGAAAAUACAGAAAAGAUUAUGCAAUGGCUCAGACUGGUUCGGAUAUGAUGAACUAACCCUAAUUUUUUUGUGUGGCUUUUUCGUGGACUAUAGGUAUGAAGAACAGACUCGAUCUAAACUAUGAAAAACUGGAAAAUCUCACCGAGCAACCUGGAAAUCUGAUACCACUUGAUAGAGGCAAAGGUGUCCCGUCUUUCGAUGAGAUGGUGGCUAUCAUUUUGGAGGAAGUCGACUUUGACGAUCCGACUACGAACGUGCGAGGACGUCGCGCCUCAGGAAUCGCUAAACCAACUCCAAGAGGUUAUUGACCAUGCCGGAGCACGAUCAACCUAACCACGAAGGUCUGUUUCCUGCAGGAAAACGAAGAACAAGCAAGAAACUAAGAUUGCAAUCUGGAUAUUGCGAAUAUAAGAGGAAUGCUUUAUUGAUCAAGGUGGGGUUCUGAUACGCCUUUGUCUGGUCGUUGAACACAAACGAAGUACGCGAAGUUGCAGCUAUGGCGAACUUUAAUCUAAACAAAACCCAAAGUCUAAAUGGUGCCCUUAGGGCUGUAUAUAUGGAGGAAGAGGGGGUGAAUUUCGUGGCCCUUGGUGGAAGGGUCCGAAACUAACCCUAUCUCUUGUUUCCCCACACAUACGGACUCUAAAAAUAGCCUAUACUUAUGUAUUUCGAAAUUACAUGGGCCUGGCCCAAUAAUAAGGUGACGCAGCACCUAGAAUAGCCUCUGGACGCAAUUUAUGAAGUGGCAUCUUGUAUAUUUCGUCCAAUGCUUCAUGCACUCAUUAUGGUGGCUUCAAAGUCCUGAAAUCAUCACUUGAAACUCCGUUCUUGUUCCCCUUGCGCAUGCCAUCAUCUCCAUGCUUGUUCUUGCUCCAAUGUUCAUCCUUCUCCAAUCUAGGUCCUUCAUUUGUAAGCAAAACAAAUGUAUCCAAUUUAGGCAGCAUCAUAUUCUCAUGAACAUUAGAAUCAUUACCAAGGAACGAAAGUACCUGGUAAUUUAGUUGGCGUGUGAGGGAGUCCUGGACUAGGGGGUGUCCGGAUAGCCGAACUAUCAUCAUCGGCCGGACUCCAAGACUAUGAAGAUAAAAGAUUGAAGACUUUGUCCCGUGUCCGGAUGGGACUUUCCUUGGCGUGGAAGGCAAGCUUGGCGAUAUGGAUAUGUAGAUCUCCUACCAUUGUAACCGACUCUGUGUAACCCUAGCCCUCUCCGGUGUCUAUAUAAACCGGAGGGUUUUAGUCCGUAGGACAGAACAACAAUCAUACCAUAGGCUAGCUUCUAGGGUUUAGCCUCCUUGAUCCCGUGGUAGAUCCACUCUUGUACUACCCAUAUCAUCAAUAUCAAUCAAGCAGGAGUAGGGUUUUACCUCCAUCGAGAGGGCUCGAACCUGGGUAAAAACAUCGUGUCCCUUGUCUCCUGUUACCAUCCGCCUAGACGCACAGUUUGGGACCCCUUACCCGAGAUCCGCCGGUUUUGACACCGACAUUGGUGCUUUCAUUGAGAGUUCCUCUGUGUCGUCACCAAUAGGCUCGAUGGCUCCUUCGAUCAUCAACAACGACGACACAGUCUAGGGUGAGACUUUUCUCCCCGGACAGAUCUUCGUAUUCGGCGGCUUUGCACUGUGGGCCAAUUCGCUUGGCCAUCUGGAGCAGAUCGAAAGCUACGCCCCUGGCCGUCAGGUCAGAUUUUGAAGUCUGAACUUCACGGCUGACAUCCGUAGAGACUUGAUCUUCGAUGAAUUUGAGCCACAGCCGAGCGCGCCGCACUGUCACGAUGGGCAUGAUUUAGCUCUGCUGCCGGACAGUGCCCUGGAGGCCGCACACGAGUCUGCUCCGACCCUUAAUUCGGAGCCGGCUGCGCAGAUCGAAGACGGGUGGCUAGACACCGCCUCGGGGGCUGCAACCUCUACAGCGAUGGAGCCGAAUACGAACCUUGUCCCUUGUGAAGCUCGUGACUCCAAGGUGCCGGAUUCCUCGCUGGACUCCGAACCCCCCGCGCCCCUUCCAAUCGAAUCCGAUUGGGCGCCGAUCAUGGAGUUCACCGCUGCGGACAUAUUUCAACACUCACCUUUCGGCGACAUCCUGAAUUCGCUAAAGUAUCUCUCGUUAUCAGGAGAGCCCUGGCCGGACUGCGGUCAGGACGGUUGGGAUGCGGACGACGAAGAAAUUCAAAGCCCACCCACCACCCACUUAGUAGCCACUGUCGACGAUCUAACCGACAUGCUAGACUUCGACUCCGAAGACAUCGACGGUAUGGACGACGAUGCCGGAGUCGACCAAGAACCAGCGCCUACUGGGCACUGGAAACCCACCUCGUCAUAUGACAUAUACAUGGUGGAUAUCCCAAAGAAUGGGAAUAGCGAGGGAACAGCGGAGGAAGACCCCUCCAAGAAACAGCCUAAGCGCCGGCGUUAGUGGCGCCGCUCUAAAUCCCGCCACAGCAAGAAUGGAGAUUCCGGCACUGGAGAUAAUAACACCCCAGACAGUGCCGAAGACAACCCACUCCAGCAAGAUUCAGCACAGGAGGACGGAGAAGCCAGCCCUCAUGAGAGAGCGGCAGACGAAGAGGUAGAGGAUGACAAUUACAUGCCUCCCUCUGGAGACGAGGCAAGCCUCGACGACGACGAAUUCGUCGUGCCUGAGGAUCCCGUCAAACAAGAGCGUUUUAAACACAGGCUUACGGCCAUGGCAAACAGCCUCAAGAAAAAGCAGCAACAACUUAGAGCUGAUCGAGAUCUGCUAGCCGACAGAUGGACUGAAGUCCUUGCGGCCGAAGAGCAUGAACUCGAACGCCCCUCCAAAAGCUACCCCAAACGCAAGCUGCUCCCCCGAUUAGAGGAGGAGGCAUAUAAACCUGCAUCACCAGCGCACAAUACGGCUGACCGACCACCUCGUGGCCGCGACACAGAGGCCUCUAGGCCCUCCACUAGAACCAUACCCCGGCAUCGCUCGAAAAGCACAAAGCCACAGGGGAACCUUCCGGACUUGCGAGAUAUAUUGGAGGAUAAGGCAAGACAAUCAAGAUCGAUCUACGGAUCGCGUGUGAUAGAGGCAAAGGUGUCCCGUCUUUCGAUGAGAUGAUGGAUAUCGCUUUGGUGGAAGUCGACUUUGACGAUCCGACUACGAACGUGCGAGGACGUCGCACCUUAGCAAUCGCUAAACCAACUCCGAGAGGUUAUUGACCACGCCAGAGCACGAUCAACCUGACCACGAGGGUCUGUUUCCUGCGAGCAAACGAAAAACAAGCAAGAAACUAAGAUUGCAAUCUGGAUAUUGCGAAUAUAAGAUGAAAGCUUUAUUGAUCAAGGUGGGGUUCUGUGACGCCUUUGUCUGGUCGUUGAACACAAACGAAGUACGCGAAGUUGCAGCUAUGGCGAACUUUUAAUCUAAACAAAACCCAAAGUCUAAACGGUGCCCUAAAGGCUGUAUAUAUGGAGGAAGAGAGGGGGAAUUUCGUGGCCCUUGGUGGAGGGGUCCGAAAUCAACCCUAUCUCUUGUUUCCCCACACAUACGGACUCUAAAAAUAGCCUAUACUUAUGUAUUUCGAAAUUACAUGGGCCUGGCCCAAUAAAAAGGUGACGCAGCACCUAUAAUAGCCUCGGGACGAAAUUUAUGAAGUGGCAUCUUGUAUAUUUCGUCCAUGGCUUCAUGCACCCAUUAUGGUGGCUUCAAAGUCCUGAAAUCAUCACUUGUAACUCCGUUCUUGUUCCCCUUGCGCAUGGCAUCAUCUCCAUGCUUGUUCUUGCUCCAAUGUUCAUCCUUCUCCAAGCUAGGCCCUUCAUUUGUAAGCAAAACAAAUGUAUCCAAUUUAGGCAGCAUCAUAUUCUCAUGAACAUUAGAAUCAUUACCAAGAAACGAAAGUACCUGAUAAUUUAAUUGGCGUGCGCGAGCUCUAGUAAUUGGUCCAGUAUGUAUAGCAGCAGGGGCUGUGGGUGUAACAAUUGUAUUGAUGUCCUCAUCAUCCUCCCCUUCUUGAAAUGAAGUCGUCCUCGACGGAAGUUCAUCUUCCUCACCCAAAUAAGGCUUCAAAUCUGCAAUGUUAAAAGUGGGACUAACCCCAAAAUCUGCAGGCAGCUCAAGUUUAUAUGCAUUAUCAUUUAUUUUCUCUAACACCUUAAAGGGACCAUCAGCACGUGGCAUUAACUUUGAUUUGCGCAAAUCAGGAAAUCUAUCCUUACGCAAAUGUAACCAAACAAGAUCUCCAGGUGCAAACACAACAUGUUUUCUACCCUUAUCUCCAGCAAGUUUAUAUUUAGCAUUCAUGCGCUCAAUGUUUUCCUUAGUUAACUCAUGCAUUUUUAAAAUCAAUUUAGCACAUUGUUUAGCAUCAAAAUUAACCUUCUCCGAAGAUGGAAGAGGCAACAAAUCAAUAGGUGCACGAGGUAGGAAACCAUACACAACUUCAAAAGGGCACAUCUUAGUAGUAGAAUGCAAUGAACGAUUAUAAGCAAAUUCAAUAUGAGGCAAGCAUUCCUCCCACAUUUUCUUAUUAUUCUUCAAAACAGCCCUAAGCAUAGUAGACAAUGUUCUAUUGACUACUUCAGUUUGUCCAUCAGUUUGGGGGUGACAAGUAGUACUAAAAAGCAGUUUAGUCCCCAACUUAGCCCAUAAACAUCUCCAAAAGUGGCUAAGAAAUUUAGUAUCACGAUCUGAAACAAUAGUAUUUGGCACACCAUGCAAACGAAUAAUUUCACGAAAGAACAAAUCAGCAACAUUAACAGCAUCAUCGCUUUUAUGACAUGGUAUAAAGUGUGCCAUUUUCGAGAAUCUAUCCACGACAACAAAUAUGCUAUCCCUCCCCUUCUUUGUUCGAGGUAAACCUAAAACAAAGUCCAUAGAUAUAUCCUCCCAAGGAACACUAGGUACAGGCAAAGGCAUAUAUAAACCAUGAGGAUUGAGUCGUGACUUAGCUUUUUGACAUGUAGUGCAGCGAGCAAUAAAACGCUCAACAUCCCGUCUCAUCUUUGGCCAAAAGAAAUGUGUAGCAAGUAUGUCCUCCGUCUUUCUUUGUAAGCUCAUUGAGAGGUGCAGCAAUGGUGCUGAAAUCUCUCACAAAACGCCUAUAGAAUCCAGCGAGGCCAAGAAAACUCCUCACUUGUGUGACCGUUUUGGGCUGCGGCCAACUCUCAAUAGCUUCAAUCUUGGCUUUAUCAACUUCAAUUCCCUGUGGAGUAACAACAUAGCCAAGAAAAGAUACGCGGUCGGUGCAAAAGGUGCACUUCCCAAGGUUACCAAACAAACGUGCAUCACGUAGAGCAAUAAAAACAGCACGUAAAUGUUCCAAAUGUUCUUCCAAAGAUCUGCUAUAAAUCAAUAUGUCAUCAAAGUAAACUACCACAAAUCGUCCAAUGAAAGCACGUAAAACUUCGUUCAUUAAUCUCAUGAAAGUACUAGGUGCAUUAGUUAACCCAAAAGGCAUGACUAACCACUCAUAUAAUCCAAACUUAGUUUUGAAUGCUGUUUUCCAUUCAUCUCCCAAUUUCAUACGAAUUUGAUGGUAUCCACUACGCAAAUCAACUUUGGAGAAUAUUGUAAAGCCACUCAAUUCAUCAAGCAUAUCAUCUAGCCUAGGAAUAGGAUGACGAUAACGAAUAGUAAUAUUAUUAAUGCCUCUACAAUCAACACACAUACGUGAUGUACCAUCCUUUUUCGGCACUAGAAUAAUAGGAACAUCACAAGGACUAAGGGAUUCGCGUAUAUAACCUUUGUCGAGAAGCUCUUGUACUUGACGCAUAAUCUCCUUCGUCUCCUCUGGAUUGGUACGGUAUGGUGCACGGUUUGGCAGUGAAGCACCGGGAAUUAAGUCAAUCUGAUGCUCAAUCCCUCGAAUAGGCGGUAAUCCCGGUGGCACGUCUUGUGGAAAGACGUCAGCGAACUCCUGCAAAAUGUUAGUGACAGCAGGAGGCAAAGAGGAAGGCACGUCCUCGAAUGAAAAUAAUGCCUCUUUGCACACAAAAGCAUAGCAAACAGAUUUGCUGAAAUCUAGCUCAUCAAUAUCAGAUUUGGUGGCAAAUAAACAUGCACUUUUCAAUUUAAUUUCAGAAGCAACACUAGAUGGUUUAUUAUUAGGCUUCAUUUGUUUCUCAAAUUCUUUUGCCACAAUCUGAUUUUCACUCUUAUUCGUCUCCUGUUUUGCUUUAUUAGCUCUAUUAAUAUCAUCUUUCAAAAUGGAAUCAGGAGUCAUAGGAAGCAAAGUAAUAUUUUUAUCCUUAUGAACAAGAGUAUAGUGAUUGUUUCUACCAUGGUGUACAGAAUUUUUAUCAAAUUGCCAUGGUCUACCAAGUAAUAAGGAACAUGCUUGCAUAGGUACCACAUCACAAUCAACAUAAUCAGCAUAUGUAGAGAUACUAAAAUGCACACGAACAGUACGUGUUACCUUAACCUUGCCGCUGUUGUUGAACCAUUGGAUGUAGUAAGGAUGUGGAUGUGGUCUUGUGGUGAGAGAAAGCUUCUUGAUAGAGGCAAAGGUGUCCCGUCUUUCGAUGAGAUAGUGGAUUUCGCUUUGGUGGAAGUCGACUUUGACGAUCCGACUACGAACGUGCGAGGACGUCGCGCCUUAGCAAUCGCUAAACCAACUCCGAGAGGUUAUUGACCACGCCGGAGCACGAUCAACCUGACCACGAGGGUCUGUUUCCUGCGAGCAAACGAAGAACAAGCAAGAAACUGAGAUUGCAAUCUGGAUAUUGCGAAUAUAAGAUGAAAGCUUUAUUGAUCAAGGUGGGGUUCUGUGACGCCUUUGUCUGGUCGUUGAACACAAACGAAGUACGCGAAGUUGCAGCUAUGGCAAACUUUUAAUCUAAACAAAACCCAAAGUCUAAACGAUGCCCUAAGGGCUGUAUAUAUGGAGGAAGAGGGGGGGGGGAAUUUCGUGUCCCUUGGUGGAGGGGUCCGAAAUCAACCCUAUCUCUUGUUUCCCCACACAUACGGACUCUAAAAAUAGCCUAUACUUAUGUAUUUCGAAAUUACAUGGGCCUGGCCCAAUAAUAAGGUGACGUAGCACCUAAAAUAGCCUCGGGACGAAAUUUAUGAAGUGGCAUCUUGUAUAUUUCGUCCAAGGCUUCAUGCACCCAUUAUGGUGGCUUCAAAGUCCUGAAAUCAUCACUUGUAACUCCGUUCUUGUUCCCCUUGCGCAUGCCAUCAUCUCCAUGCUUGUUCUUGCUCCAAUGUUCAUCCUUCUCCAAGCUAGGCCCUUCAUUUGUAAGCAAAACAAAUGUAUCCAAUUUAGGCAGCAUCAUAUUCUCAUGAACAUUAGAAUCAUUACCAAGAAACGAAAGUACCAGGUAAUUUAGUUGGCGUGCACGAGCUCUAGUAAUUGGUCCAGUAUGUAUAGCAGCAGGGGCUGUGGGUGUAACAAUUGUAUUGAUGUCCUCAUCAUCCUCCCCUUCUUGAAAUGAAGUCGUCCUCGACGGAAGUUCAUCUUCCUCACCCAAAUAAGGCUUCAAAUCUGCAAUGUUAAAAGUGGGACUAACCCCAAAAUCUACAGGCAGCUCAAGUUUAUAUGCAUUAUCAUUUAUUUUCUCUAACACCUUAAAGGGACCAUCAGCACGUGGCAUUAGCUUUGAUUUGCGCAAAUCAGGAAAUCUAUCCUUACGCAAAUGUAACCAAACAAGAUCUCCAGGUGCAAACACAACAUGUUUUCUACCCUUAUCUCCAGCAAGUUUAUAUUUAGCAUUCAUACGCUCAAUGUUUUCCUUAGUUAACUCAUGCAUUUUUAAAAUCAAUUCAGCACGUUGUUUAGCAUCAAAAUUAACCUUCUCCGAAGAUGGAAGAGGCACCAAAUCAAUAGGUGCAUGAGGUAGGAAACCAUACACAACUUCAAAAUGGCACAUCUUAGUAGUAGAAUGCAAUGAACGAUUAUAAGCAAAUUCAAUAUGAGGCAAGCAUUCCUCCCACAUUUUCUUAUUAUUCUUCAAAACAGCCCUAAGCAUAGUAGACAACGUUCUAUUGACUACUUCAGUUUGUCCAUCAGUUUGGGGGUGACAAGUAGUACUAAAAAGCAGUUUAGUCCCCAACUUAGCCCAUAAACAUCUCUAAAAGUGGCUAUGAAAUUUAGUAUCACGAUCUGAAACAAUAGUAUUUGGCACACCAUGCAAGUGAAUAAUUUCACGAAAGAACAAAUCAGCAACAUUAACAGCAUCAUCGCUUUUAUGACAUGGUAUAAAGUGUGCCAUUUUCGAGAAUCUAUCCACGACAACAAAUAUGCUAUCCCUCCCCUUCUUUGUUCGAGGUAAACCUAAAACAAAGUCCAUAGAUAUAUCCUCCCAAGGAACACUAGGUACAGGCAAAGGCAUAUAUAAACCAUGAGGAUUGAGUCGUGACUUAGCUUUUUGACAUGUAGUGCAUCGAGCAAUAAAACGCUCAACAUCCCGUCUCAUCUUUGGCCAAAAGAAAUGUGUAGCAAGUACGUCCUCCGUCUUCUUCACGCCAAAGUGUCCCAUUAAUCCUCCUCCAUGCGCCUCCUGCAACAACAAAAGACGAACGGAGCUAGCUGGAAUGCAUACUUGUUAGCACGAAACACAAAUCCAUCGUUAACGACGAACUUGUUCCACAUUCUUCCUUCUUUACAAUUCUGCAUUACAUCUUUAAAAUUAGCAUCAUGCACAUAUUGAUCUUUGAUGGUCUUCAAACCAAAUAUUUUGAAGUCAAGUUGUGAAAGCAUAGUAUAGCGGCGAGACAAUGCAUCAGCAAUAACAUUUUCUUUUCCCUUCUUGUGUUUAAUGACAUAAGGAAAAGUCUCAAUGAAUUCAACCCAUUUAGCAUGUCUACGAUUCAGUUUAGCUUGACUUUUAAUAUGUUUCAAAGAUUCAUGAUCAGAAUGUAUAACAAAUUCUUUGGGCCAUAAAUAAUGUUGCCAUGUUUCUAAAGUCCGAACAAGAGCAUAUAAUUCUUUAUCAUAAGUAGAAUAAUUCAGACUAGGCCCACUCAAUUUUUCAGAAAAGUAUGCAACAGGUUUGCCAUCUUGUAAUAACACACCGCCUAAUCCAAUUCCGCUAGCAUCACAUUCAAGCUCAAAAGUCUUAUUAAAAUCGGGAAGUUGGAGUAAAGGAGCAUGUGUCAACUUAUCUUUCAAUACCGAGAAGGCUUCUUCCUGUGCGGUACCCCAAAGAAAAGGCACAUCUUUCUUUGUAAGCUCAUUGAGAGGUGCAGCAAUGGUGCUGAAAUCUCUCACAAAACGCCUAUAGAAUCCAGCGAGGCCAAGAAAACUCCUCACUUGUGUGACCGUUUUGGGUUGCGGCCAACUCUCAAUAGCUUCAAUCUUGGCUUUAUCAACUUCAAUUCCCUGUGGAGUAACAACAUAGCCAAGAAAAGAUACUCGGUUGGUGCAAAAGGUGCACUUCCCAUGGUUACCAAACAAACGUGCAUCACGUAGAGCAAUAAAAACAGCACGUAAAUGUUCCAAAUGUUCUUCCAAAGAUCUGCUAUAAAUCAAUAUGUCAUCAAAGUAAACUACCACAAAUCGUCCAAUGAAAGCACGUAAAACUUCGUUCAUUAAUCUCAUGAAAGUACUAGGUGCAUUAGUUAACCCAAAAGGCAUGACUAACCACUCAUAUAAUCCAAACUUAGUUUUGAAUGCUGUUUUCCAUUCAUCUCCCAAUUUCAUACGAAUUUGAUGGUAUCCACUACGCAAAUCAACUUUGGAGAAUAUUGUAGAGCCACUCAAUUCAUCAAGCAUAUCAUCUAGCCUAGGAAUAGGAUGACGAUAACGAAUAGUAAUAUUAUUAAUGCCUCUACAAUCAACACACAUACGUGAUGUACCAUCCUUUUUCGGCACUAGAAUAAUAGGAACAGCACAAGGACUAAGGGAUUCGCGUAUAUAACCUUUGUCGAGAAGCUCUUGUACUUGACGCAUAAUCUCCUUCGUCUCCUCUGGAUUGGUAUGGUAUGGUGCACGGUUUGGCAAUGAAGCACCGGGAAUUAAGUCAAUCUGAUGCUCAAUCCCUCGAAUAGGCGGUAAUCCCGGUGGCACGUCUUGUGGAAAGACGUCAGCGAACUCCUGCAAAAUGUUAGUGACAGCAGGAGGCAAAGAGGAAGGCACGUCCUCGAUUGAAAAUAAUGCCUCUUUGCACACAAAAGCAUAACAAACAGAUUUGCUGAAAUCUUGCUCAUCAAUAUCAGAUUUGGUGGCAAAUAAACAUGCACUUUUCAAUUUAAUUUCAGAAGCAACACUAGAUGGUUUAUUAUUAGGCUUCAUUUGUUGCUCAAAUUCUUUUGCCACAAUCUGAUUUUCACUCUUAUUCGUCUCCUGUUUUGCUUUAUUAGCUCUAUUAAUAUCAUCUUUCAAAAUGGAAUCAGGAGUCAUAGGAAGCAAAGUAAUAUUUUUAUCCUUAUGAACAAGAGUAUAGUGAUUGUUUCUACCAUGGUGUACAGAAUUUUUAUCAAAUUGCCAUGGUCUACCAAGUAAUAAGGAACAUGCUUGCAUAGGUACCACAUCACAAUCAACAUAAUCAGCAUAUGUAGAGAUACUAAAAUGCACACGAACAGUACGUGUUACCUUAACCUUGCCGCUGUUGUUGAACCAUUGGAUGUAGUAAGGAUGUGGAUGUGGUCUUGUGGUGAGAGAAAGCUUCUCCACCAUCUCCAUGCUAGCCAAGUUGUUGCAGCUCCCUCCGUCUAUGAUGACGCGCACAGAACGUUCCUUCACAACUCCCUUGGUAUGGAACAAAUUGUGCCUCUGAUUUUGCUCAGCUUGUGUGACCUGCACACUCAAAACACGUUGAGCAACGCAAAUUCAACAAAGCAAAACCCUAAAAAGAUUAUGCAAGGCUCAGAUUGGUUCGGAUAUGGUGAACUAACCCUAAUUUUUUUUUUGUGGAUUUUUCGUGGACUAUAGGUAUGAAGAAUAGACUCGAUCUAAACUACGAAAAACUGUAAAAUCUCACCGAGCAACCUGGAAAUCUGAUACCACUUGAUAGAGGCAAAGGUGUCCCGUCUUUCGAUGAGAUGGUGGAUUUCGCUUUGGUGGAAGUCGACUUUGACGAUCCGACUACGAACGUGCGAGGACGUCGCGCCUUAGCAAUCGCUAAACCAACUCCGAUAGGUUAUUGACCACGCCGGAGCACGAUCAACCUGACCACGAGGGUCUGUUUCCUGCGAGCAAACGAAGAACAAGCAAGAAACUAAGAUUGCAAUCUGGAUAUUGCGAAUAUAAGAUGAAAGCUUUAUUGAUCAAGGUGGGGUUCUGUGACGCCUUUGUCUGGUCGUUGAACACAAACGAAGUACGCGAAGUUGCAGCUAUGGCGAACUUUUAAUCUAAACAAAACCCAAAGUCUAAACGAUGCCCUAAGGGCUGUAUAUAUGGAGGAAGAGGGGGGAAUUUCGUGGCCCUUGGUGGAGGGGUCCGAAAUCAACCCUAUCUCUUGUUUCCCCACACAUACGGACUCUAAAAAUAGCCUAUACUUAUGUAUUUCGAAAUUACAUGGGCCUGGCCCAAUAAUAAGGUGACGCAGCACCUAAAAUAGCCUCGGGACGAAAUUUAUGAAGUGGCAUCUUGUAUAUUUCGUCCAAGGCUUCAUGCACCCAUUAUGGUGGCUUCAAAGUCCUGAAAUCAUCACUUGUAACUCCGUUAUUGUUCCCCUUGCGCAUGCCAUCAUCUCCAUGCUUGUUCUUACUCCAAUGUUCAUCCUUCUCCAAGCUAGGCCCUUCAUUUGUAAGCAAAACAAAUGUAUCCAAUUUAGGCAGCAUCAUAUUCUCAUGAACAUUAGAAUCAUUACCAAGAAACGAAAGUACCUGGUAAUUUAGUUGGCGUGCACGAGCUCUAGUAAUUGGUCCAGUAUGUAUAGCAGCAGGGGCUGUGGGUGUAACAAUUGUAUUGAUGUCCUCAUCAGUAAAUGUUCCAAAUGUUCUUCCAAAGAUCUGCUAUAAAUCAAUAUGUCAUCAAAGUAAACUACCACAAAUCGUCCAAUGAAAGCACGUAAAACUUCGUUCAUUAAUCUCAUGAAAGUACUAGGUGCAUUAGUUAACCCAAAAGGCAUGACUAACCACUCAUAUAAUCCAAACUUAGUUUUAAAUGCUGUUUUCCAUUCAUCUCCCAAUUUCAUACGAAUUUGAUGGUAGCCACUACGCAAAUCAACUUUGGAGAAUAUUGUAGAGCCACUCAAUUCAUCAAGCAUAUCAUCUAGCCUAGGAAUAGGAUGACGAUAACGAAUAGUAAUAUUAUUAAUGCCUCUACAAUCAACACACAUACGUGAUGUACCAUCCUUUUUCGGCACUAGAAUAAUAGGAACAGCACAAGGACUAAGGGAUUCGCGUAUAUAACCUUUGUCGAGAAGCUCUUGUACUUGACGCAUAAUCUCCUUCGUCUCCUCUGGAUUGGUACGGUAUGGUGCACGGUUUGGCAGUGAAGCACCGGCAAUUAAGUCAAUCUGAUGCUCAAUCCCUCGAAUAGGCGGUAAUCCCGGUGGCACGUCUUGUGGAAAGACGUCAGCGAACUCCUGCAAAAUGUUAGUGACAGCAGGAGGCAAAGAGGAAGGCACGUCCUCGAAUGAAAAUAAUGCCUCUUUGCACACAAAAGCAUAGCAAACAGAUUUGCUGAAAUCUAGCUCAUCAAUAUCAGAUUUGGUGGCAAAUAAACAUGCACUUUUCAAUUUAAUUUCAGAAUCAACACUAGAUGGUUUAUUAUUAGGCUUCAUUUGUUGCUCAAAUUCUUUUGCCACAAUCUGAUUUUCACUCUUAUUCGUCUCCUGUUUUGCUUUAUUAGCUCUAUUAAUAUCAUCUUUCAAAAUGGAAUCAGGAGUCAUAGGAAGCAAAGUAAUAUUUUUAUCCUUAUGAACAAGAGUAUAGUGAUUGUUUCUACCAUGGUGUACAGAAUUUUUAUCAAAUUGCCAUGGUCUACCAAGUAAUAAGGAACAUGCUUGCAUAGGUACCACAUCACAAUCAACAUAAUCAGCAUAUGUACAGAUACUAAAAUGCACACGAACAGUACGUGUUACCUUAACCUUGCCGCUGUUGUUGAACCAUUGGAUGUAGUAAGGAUGUGGAUGUGGUCUUGUGGUGAGAGAAAGCUUCUCCACCAUCUCCAUGCUAGCCAAGUUGUUGCAGCUCCCUCCGUCUAUGAUGACGCGCACAGAACGUUCCUUCACAACUCCCUUGGUAUGGAACAAAUUGUGCCUCUGAUUUUGCUCAGCUUGUGUGAUCUGCACACUCAAAACACGUUGAGCAACUAAACAUUCAUACCUGUCAGCGUCUUCAGGAGCCAUGUAUUGCGUCUCAUGAUCAGAAUCAUCUCCACCAUGUUCUUCACGUGUAAUAAGAGCCAAAGUCUCCUCAUCAUAGUCACUAGCAGACUCAUAUCCACCAUCCGCGGUAGCAAUCAUCACACGCGGAGAUUUGCAUUCUCUCGCAUAAUGACCUCCUCCCUUACAACAACGACAAAUAAUAUCACUUGUGUGCCCUGUUGAUGCCAUGGAAGAAGAAGAACGCUGUGCAGGCCCCGCAGGUGCGCUCUUGGCAGAUAAUGGUGGUUGUGCCUGUUUUCUUGUAUCACGGCUGGAGGUGGCACCAGAUGGAGGUGCUGGUGCAGUUGAAGUAGAAGAUGCACGUGGUGUCCAUGAUGAAGGUCGGCCUGCAGAAAAGUUAGUUCGCCCCAAUGCUUGUCGAUCCUGCACUUCACGUUCAGCUUUACAAGCAAGAUGGAAUAAACGAGUGAUAUUAGUAUACUCCUUAUAGUCUAGAAUGGUCUGAAUCUCUCCAUUUAAUCCACCCAGAAAACGUGCAAGCAUAGCUUCAUUCUCCUCAACAAUACCACAUCUAAUCAUGCCAGUUUGUAAUUCCUGAUAAUAUUCUUCUACAGAAUUUUUCCCUUGUCUUAAACGCUGCAAUUUUUGAAGCAAUUCACGUUGAUAAUAUGGUGGAACCCAACGCGUACGCAUAGCAGUUUUCAAAGCAGCCCAAGUAGUUGGAAUAGGAUAUAAUCUACAAUGUUCAGACCACCAUACACAUGCAAAACUAGUGAAAGCACAAACAACAGCAGCAACUCGUCUCUCCUCAGGAUAUUGUAAACAUGUAAAUCGUUGUUCAGUUUCUAACUCCCAAGUAAGAUAUAUAUCAGGGACAUAUCUACCCUCAAAUGGUGGAAUAUUCAAUUUCAGUUUAGGAAUAUGGACAUCAUCUCGUACCUGAGGUGGUGGUGCAGGCCUACCAUUAUGAAUAUAUACCUGAGGUCGACCUGCUGGUGGUGGUACAGGUGGCUGCACGUAGUUCUGAUUUUGAUCAACCUCAUCCUCAUAAUCUCCCACAUAAUCAUCCUCCUCCGCAUCAGCAGCAGGAGCCACAGAAGUAUCAACAGCAGCACCAACAGUUUGGCCAAACGCAAGAGGAACACGGCUUGCUCGACGGAGGUCUGUUUCGCGACGUGGAGGUAGUCGUUGUUGUUGUUGUUGGAGAGGUGCGUUAGGUGCAGCGGGUGGUGGUGGUGGAAGACGCGCGAGCAAUUCAUUAGACUUGUUAUCGAGCUUUGUUUCAAACGUCUUCUCAAGGCCAGUGAUCUUCUCCAUGGCCUCUUCAAAAUUGUUCAGCACAUCUUGCACCUGUUCAGUCAUCAUUUGCUGAAACUUAUCAUGAAGCUCCUUGUUCGAUAAAUUCUCCUAGUCAAUCUCGUCGGCUUGUGAUCCUGGCAUGGUUAGCAGCAAUAAAAACACACAAGAAUAUGAUCCAACAGACUACGAACAAGUGGUGGUGGUGGGUGUCACAAAUCCGUCAAGCAAAACUCAAAUUCUUACCAGUUCUUACCCAGCAACAGGCGGUGAUCGGCAACCGUUGUAGUCAAAACUCUCAAAGCUUGGAUAGAGCGAUUACCAGGGAGAGUCAAACGCACGACGUAGAUGUAUGUGGAGCUGGGAAGGCUUAUAAUAUGGUAGCAAAAAGGGUCAGCAAUAAUCAAUUCAGAGAUGCGAAGUUGAAUAAACGCUCAACGACGGUACUGUGCUGGUGCUAGGCUAGACUGUGCUAGAGACGCGAGCCUAGAACACCAACAAAAUCACGGCGCGGCACGUAAACAAGGGAGGAGCACACUCUGAAUUUUUUUUUCUCUUUUUUUUGCACUUUUUUUUCCUCUUUUUUUUUUUGCUCCGUAACAAAAUUUUUUCGAAAAAGUCUACAAAUGGUCUAAAAACUACCUAGCGAGAAUUUUCCAGACUUAGUUUUUUUUUUGAAAUUGGAACUAUUUUUCUUCUGCGGAUGGCUCGGAAGUUGGGGAGUCCUUCUCUGUCACGACUCGGAGUGUCGCGUGAUCUGGAAAUCGAGAACAAUGCAACAAUUACUGGACUCGGACUAGGACUGGUGGCGGAGAUGAAUCUGGUGGAACUCGGACUGGUGGCGGAGAUGAAUCUGGUGGAACACGGACAGGUGGCGGAUAUAUGUUGCAGGUGAACUCGGAUUGGCGUGAUGGCGGCGGAUAUGUGGUGGCGUAUAUGGAUUCGGAUUGGUGGUGAAUAUGUGGUGGUGGUAUAUGGCAACAGCGACGAUGAUGAUGCGGUGGUGAUAUAUGGCACCGGCGACGUGACAACCUGUGAACAGAACUCGAAACUCUAAAAGACUAGACGCUAAGACCAGCAAAUGGACACGACGAUGCAACCGCAAAUUCAACAAAGCAAAUACAGAAAAGAUUAUGCAAGGCUCAGAUUGGUUCGGAUGGGAUGAACUAACCCUAAUUUUUUUUUGGCUUUUUCGUGGACUAUAGGUAUGAAGAACAGACUCGAUCUAAACUACGAAAAACUGUAAAAUCUCACCGAGCAACCUGGAAAUCUGAUACCACUUGAUAGAGGCAAAGGUGUCCCGUCUUUCGAUAAGAUGAUGGAUAUCGCUUUGGUGGAAGUCAACUUUGACGAUCCGACGACGAACGUGCGAGGACGUCGCGCCUUAGCAAUCGCUAAACCAACUCCGAGAGGUUAUUGACCACGCCGGAGCACGAUCAACCUGACCACGAGGGUUUGUUUCCUGCGAGCAAACGAAAAACAAGCAAGAAACUAAGAUUGCAAUCUGGAUAUUGCGAAUAUAAGAUGAAAGCUUUAUUGAUCAAGGUGGGGUUCUGUGACGCCUUUCUCUGGUCGUUGAACACAAACGAAGUACGCGAAGUUGCAGCUAUGGCGAACUUUUAAUCUAAACAAAACCCAAAGUCUAAACGGUGCCCUAAGGGCUGUAUAUAUGGAGGAAGAGAGGGGGAAUUUCGUGGCCCUUGGUGGAGGGGUCCGAAAUCAACCCUAUCUCUUGUUUCCCCACACAUACGGACUCUAAAAAUAGCCUAUACUUAUGUAUUUCGAAAUUACAUGGGCCUGGCCCAAUAAAAAGGUGACGCAGCACCUAUAAUAGCCUCGGGACGAAAUUUAUGAAGUGGCAUCUUGUAUAUUUCGUCCAUGGCUUCAUGCACCCAUUAUGGUGGCUUCAAAGUCCUGAAAUCAUCACUUGUAACUCCGUUCUUGUUCCCCUUGCGCAUGGCAUCAUCUCCAUGCUUGUUCUUGCUCCAAUGUUCAUCCUUCUCCAAGCUAGGCCCUUCAUUUGUAAGCAAAACAAAUGUAUCCAAUUUAGGCAGCAUCAUAUUCUCAUGAACAUUAGAAUCAUUACCAAGAAACGAAAGUACCUGAUAAUUUAAUUGGCGUGCGCGGGCUCUAGUAAUUGGUCCCGUAUAUGUAGCAGUAGGGGCUGUGGGUGUAACAAUGGUAUUGAUGUCCUCAUCAGCGUGGGCGCCCCAUGAUACACGACGACAUCCGUCGCGCCGGACACAGCAAGUCCGGCCGGGCCGAACACAGUAGACAAAGCUCGUUUGAGCUAUGUCGUGAUAUAGCCCAAUACAGAGGCGCCGCACACCCACUAUGCUUCAUAGAUGAAGUAAUGGAUCAUCAAAUCCCCGAAGGGUUUAAACCCGUGAAUAUUGAAUCCAAUGAUGGCACAACAGACCCCGCGGUUUGGAUCGAAGACUAUCUCCUUCAUAUCCACAUGGCCCGCGGUGAUGAUCUUCACGCCAUCAAAUACGUCCCACUCAAGCUUAAAGGACCAGCUCGGCAUUGGCUUAACAGCUUGCCAGCAGAAUCAAUUGGGUGUUGGGAGGACCUGGAAGGCGCAUUCCUUGAUAACUUCCAGGGCACGUAUGUGCGACCACCAGACGCUGACGACCUAAGCCAUAUAAUUCAGCAGCCAAACGAAUCGGCCAGACAAUUCUGGACACGGUUCUUAACUAAGAAAAAUCAAAUCAUUGACUGUCCGGAUGCGGAGGCCCUCGCGGCCUUCAAACACAACAUCCGCGACGAGUGGCUUGCCCGGCACCUGGGACAGGAAAAGCCGAAAUCCAUGGCAGCCCUCACAUCACUCAUGACCCGCUUCUGCGCGGGAGAGGUCAGCUGGCUAGGCCGCAGCAACAACGUCAGCAAAAAUUCUGGCAGUCCGGAUACCAAGGACCGCAACGGCAGGUCGCGUUGCAACAAGCACAAAUGCCGCAUUAACAGCGACAAUACUGAGGAUACGACAGUCAAUGCCGGAUUCAGAGGCUCCAAACCCGGUCAGCGAAAAAAGCCAUUCAAAAGAACUACUCCGGGUUCGUCCAAUUUGGACCGAAUACUUGAUCGCUCGUGCCAGAUACACGGCACCCCCGAAAAGCCAGCUAACCACACCAACAGGGACUAUUGGGUAUCCAAGCAGGCAGGCAAGCUAAUCACCGAAAACAAUGACAAGGGGCUGCAUCGCGAUGACGAGGAAGAGACCCGACCGCCGAACAAUAGAGGACAGAAGGGUUUCCCCCCACAAGUGCGGACCGUGAACAUGAUAUACGCAACCCACAUACCCAAGAGGGAGCGGAAGCGUGCACUCAGGGACGUAUACGCGAUGGAGCCAGUGAUGAGGACAUGACUACCUUGGAUAUGACCAAAAAUAUUGCAUAUAUGCAUAUUUGUCAGGUGAUUUCUAGUGCAAACUAUUCAAUAAUCUAUUUAUGUUAUCCAGAACAAAAAUACUUCACACACUUUUGUGUUUUGUCUAAUUGCAGGUGUAUGGGACAUUUGUACAAUCCACAUAUGAAGAUAAGGAAGAAAGAGAUGUUUAUUUGCUGUCCAAAAAGUUCUCUCACGUCACUUUUGGCCCAAGAGAAGAUAGAGUCCAAGUCUCUCACGUUCUGGAUUCAGAUUCGGACUGCACAGACAUACCUGACUCAAAACGCACACAAGUUUUUCAUACGGACUCCGAAUUGGGUGAUUCUUUUUUUGAUGGAAACUAGAUUUCGUGCACUUUCCAACCCAAUUGGAAUCACCUUCAAAUUCGUCCGGAGCGUUGAGUUGUGGAUGAAACAAUCUGAUGCUGCAGCAGAAUCCGAGUCAAACUACAAGUCCAAAGGUGUUACAUCACCUCCACUUGGGCCCAUUGGCCUUGUACGACCUAGAUUUAGUUUUAGGCUGCCUUGGGACGUCCUCCCACCUCCUUGGCCGCCACCCCUUCCUCCUAUAUAAGUAGAUCCAUCUAGUAGCUUUUCAUUGGGAUUUGUUUAGUUAAAAGUUAGCCAUUGCAACUUCGUGUACUUCGUUUGUGUCCAACGACCAGACCAAGACCGCUUACGGAUCCCCACCUUUAUCAAUACUUCAUAUAUACUCGCAAUAUUCAGAUUGCUUUAUCAUACUCUUGCUCGUUCUUCGAUUGCUUGCAGGAAUAGACCUUCGUGGUCAGGCUGACCGUGCUUCCAGCAUUGUCAGUAACCUCAGGAGAUUGGUUUAGCGAUUGCUAAGGCGCAACGUCGUGCACGUUUGUAGUCGGAUCGUCAAAGUCGUCUCCACCAAAUUGAUAGUUAUCAUCUCAUCGAAAGAUUGGGACACCCUCGCCUCUAUCAAGUGGUAUCAGUUUUCAGGUUGCUCGGUGAGAAUUUCCAGUUUUCCUAGAUUAGAUUUAUUUUCUUACCUAUUGUCCAAGAAAAAGCCACAAAAAAGAGUUAGAUCUAUUCAUCCUUGGUCCAAGCCAGUCUGAGCCUUUGCAAUUUUCUUUUCAUUGCUUGCAUAGUUGAAUUAUCGGUUGCAUCGUCGUGUCGAGUUGCUGGUCUUAGUGUCUAGUUCCUUUAGAGUUUCGAGUUCUGUUCACAUUAGUCACGCAGCUGCUGCAUCAUUAUCCCAUCCGCUGUCCACCAUCCAAUCCACCAAUUUCCACCACGUGCUACGCACUGUUUAUUGUCAUAAUCAUAGUUGAGUCACUCACAUCUUCGUCUGAUCGAAUCUGCAUCUUAUCUAGUUUGUCUUCGAAAGAGGGAGAAAAAGAAGAUAAAGAAAAAAAAGAGAGAAAAAAGGAAAGAAAAAAAAAGAAAAAGAGGGAGAAGAAAAAGAAAAAAAAAGCAUGAGAAAGAAAAAGAGAGAAGAAAAAAAUUGGAUCUAUCUAGAAUCAAUCUCGUACCUGAAUUCGGAUUGGAAUCUGUUUUGUGCACUGUUCAGUAAAACAGCUUGGCUAUUGUUUCACAUCAUUAUCUUUACUGCCGUUGUGAUCUUCACUUAUAUCUUGCUGUCCAGAGCUACUUUGUAUCCUUCAUUGAUGCUGGUUGUGCUACGACGUGACCUCAUUAGUGUUCUAGGCUCGCGUCUCUAGUUCGGUCUAGCCUAGGAUCAGCACAGUACCGUCGUUGAGCGUUUAUUCAACAUUGCAUCUUUGAAUUGAUUAUUGCUAAUCUUUUGCUACCAUAUAUAGCCAACCCAGCUCCACAUAUUUCUACACCGUGUAUACGUACGCUCCCCUGGCAAUCGCUUUACUCAAUAUUCGGAGUUACUUGACACCGCUGGUUGCCGAUCACCGCCUGCUGCAUGGUAAGAACGUGUAAGACAUUGAUAUUUGCUUUACUGUGAGCGUUUUACCACCACAUCCUAGUAGUUAUAGGAACAUUAUUUUUGGGUUUUGUUUCUUGUUCUACUAAUCAUGACAGGAUCCAGAGUCAAUUCAUGGGCUUCGUCGAUCGCGGGAGAUGUGCCACCACCUUUGCAAAUACCACAACCGUCACGAGAGGUGCACAAACAUCCAAAUGCACAUGAUCAGGUUAAUGUAUCUAUACCACCAUUUAAUGGCCGUUUUAAACCUGCUUUAUAUAUUGAAUGGGAGUUCGACAUAAAAAAUAUAUUUGCUUCCCAUAAUUUCGAUGAACAUAAAAAGGUUAAGGUUGCGGUUGGUUCUUUCACUGGUUAUGCUUUGGUUUGGUGGAGUGAAUAUUGUCGGUUACACCCUGAUUAUAUACCUACUACUUGGGAUGAUUUGAAACUUGCCAUGCGACAUACUUUCGUCCCUGCUUAUUAUACUCGUGACAUGAUUAAGAAGUUGCAACACUUAAAACAAGGUAGUGAAACUGUAACAAAAUAUUAUGAUGAUUUACAAACUACCUUGUUGCAUUCCUCUUUAGAAGAAAGUGAAGAUGAUUUUAUGGAUAGAUUUUGGGGAGGAUUAAAUUGUGAUAUUCAAGAGAUACUAAUUCAUGAAGAGUGUUAUCCUAUGGACCAUUUGUUUCAUCUUGCUUGCAAAGCUGAACAGGAAAUAAAACGACGUGUUGGCCACGAGGAGAACAAGCGCAGGGUGCACAUUCCAAGAGUUGAUAUGAUUGUUCCUUCAACUACUAGGCAUACUAUGACAACCACAUCCGUUGUUGUCAGGACUACAUCACCUCCACCAUGUGACACAUCGCCCCCGAGAGUGGCUACAUCAUCUGAGCUGAUCAUAAGAGGUAAUGACAAAGGUACUGAUCUUCCAUCUCUACAUGAGAAUGAUGAAUGCCUUGUCAAUUUGAAUGCACCAUCUGAUGAGCUACCCACUACUUUGAUCACACCACCUAUUUUAGAGGACUACGUUGAUAAUUUGACUUUGCCAUGUGAUCAAACAACUGAAAUACCAACAAUUUUGAGUGCACCCAUUGAAUUAACUAUUGAUGCAAAAGAACCAAUGUUUAAUCAUUUUGAUAUGACCUCUAAUCUUGGUGAUGAUUCUGUGUUGAAUGACAUAUUGCAUGUUUGCUUAUUUAAGCAUGUUGUAGCAUGUAAAUUUGAUGCAAGUAAGGUUUAUUCACCAAUGUUGGGAUGGUUUAAUGAUGAACAUUGUCAAUCUUUUGAAAUGAAUAAGAGCUUCACUUAUAUGUGCAAACUGAGUUGCAAUAUUUUCAUGCCUUCUACUUCUUGUGCUAAUUUUUUGGCUUUAGAUUUUAUGAACUAUGCAAGUUACUCAUCUAUUCAUGUGUCAUAUAUGCAAAAAUCAAGGGAAGUAAAAAUGGAUGACAUAUACAUAUACAACAUGUACACCUUGUCUCUUUUGUUAGCCACAUUUCAGAUUAAGCAACGCCGAGGACGGCUUUAUUUUCAAGAAGGGGAGGAUGAUGAGGACAUGACUACCUUGGAUAUGACCAAAAAUAUUGCAUAUAUGCAUAUUUGUCAGGUGAUCUCUAGUGCAAACUAUUCAAUAAUCUAUUUAUGUUAUCCAGAACAAAAAUACUUCACACACUUUUGUGUUUUCUCUAAUUGCAGGUGUAUGAGACAUUUGUACAAUCCACAUAUGAAGAUAAGGAAGAAAGAGAUGUUUAUUUGCUGUCCAAAAAGUUCUUUCACGUCACUUUUGGCCCAAGAGAAGAUAGAGUCCAAGUCUCUCACGUUCUGGAUUCAGAUUCGGACUGCACAGACAUACCUGACUCAAAACGCACACAAGUUUUUCAUACGGACUCCGAAUUGGGUGAUUCUUUUUUUGUUGGAAACUAGAUUUCGUGCACUUUCCAACCCAAUUGGAAUCACCUUCAAAUUCGUCCGGAGCGUUGAGUUGUGGACGAAACAAUCUGAUGCUGCAGCAAAAUCCGAGUCAAACUACAAGUCCAAAGGUGUUACAUCACCUCCACUUGGGCCCAUUGGCCUUGUACGACCUAGAUUUAGUUUUAGGCUGCCUUGGGACGUCCUCCCACCUCCUUGGCCUCCACCCCUUGCUCCUAUAUAAGUAGAUCCAUCUAGUAGCUUUUCCUUGGGAUUUGUUUAGUUAAAAGUUAGCCAACGCAACUUCGUGUACUUCGUUUGUGUCCAACGACCAGACCAAGACCGCUUACGGAUCCCCACCAUUAUCAAUACCUCAUAUAUAUUUGCAAUAUUCAGAUUGCUUUAUCAUAUUCUUGCUUGUUCUUCGAUUGCUUGCAGGAAUAGACCUUCGUGGUCAGGCUGACCGUGCUUCCGGCAUCGUCAGUAACCUCAGAAGAUUGGUUUAGCGAUUGCUAAGGCGCAACGUCGUGCACGUUUGUAGUCGGAUCGUCAAAGUCGUCUCCACCAAAUCGAUAGUUAUCAUCUCAUCGAAAGAUCGGGACACCCCCGCCUCUAUCAAGUGGUAUCAGUUUUCAGGUUGCUCGGUGAGAAAUUCCAGUUUUCCUAGAUUAGAUUUAUUUUCUUACCUAUUGUCCAAGAAAAAGCCACAAAAAAGAGUUAGAUCUAUUCAUCCUUGGUCCAAGCCAGUCUGAGCCUUUGCAAUUUUCUUUUCAUUGCUUGCAUAGUUGAAUUAUCGGUUGCAUCAUCGUGUCGAGUUGCUGGUCUUAGUGUCUAGUUCGUUUAGAGUUUCGAGUUCUGUUCACAUUAGUCACGCCACCGCUGCAUCAUUAUCUCUUCCGCUGUCCACCACCCAUCCAUCAAUUUCCACCACGUGCUACCCACCCUUCAUUGUCAUAAUAAUAGUUGAGAUCGUUCACAUCUUCACUUGAUCCAAUCUGCAUCUUAUCUAGUUUGUUUUGGAAGGAGGGAGAAAAAAAGAGAGAAAAAAACGAGAAAAAAAAGGAGAAAAAAAAGUCAGAGAGAAAAAAAGGAGAGAAAGAAAAAAAAGUGUGAGGAAAAAAAAAGAGAAGAAAAAAAACAAAAAAAUCGGCACAAACUUUUUCAGAGGAAAGUUGGAGACAAAGUUGUUGAUAUAUCCUGCUUGGCUGUUGUUUCACCUCAUUAUCUUUACUGCCGUUGUGAUCUUCACUUAUAUCUUGUUGUCCAGAGCUACUUAGUAUCCUUCAUUGAUGCUAGUUGUGCUACGACGUGACCUCAUUAGUGUUCUAGGCUCGCGUCUCUAGUCCGGUCUAGCCUAGGACCAGCACAGUACCGUCGUUGAGCGUUUAUUCAACAUUGCAUCUUUGAAUUGAUUAUUGCUAAUCUUUUGCUACCAUAUAUAGCCAACCCAGCUCCACAUAUUUCUACACCGUGUAUACGUACGCUCCCCUGGCAAUCGCUUUACUCAAUAUUCGGAGUUACUUGACACCGCUGGUUGCCGAUCACCGCCUGCUGCAUGGUAAGAACUUGUAAGACGUUGAUAUUUGCUUUACUGUGAGCGUUUUACCACCACAUCCUAGUAGUUAUAGGAACAUUAUUUUUGGGUUUUGUUUCUUGUUCUACUAAUCAUGACAGGAUCCAGAGUCAAUUCAUGGGCUUUGUCGAUCGCGGGAGACGUGCCACCACCUUUGCAAAUACCACAACCGUCACGAGAGGUGCACAAACAUCCAAAUGCACAUGAUCAGGUUAAUGUAUCUAUACCACCAUUUAAUGGCCGUUUUAAACCUGCUUUAUAUAUUGAAUGGGAGUUCGACAUAAAAAAUAUGUUUGCUUCCCAUAAUUUCGAUGAACAUAAAAAGGUUAAGGUUGCGGUUGGUUCUUUCACUGGUUAUGCUUUGGUUUGGUGGAGUGAAUAUUGUCGGUUACACCCUGAUUAUAUACCUACUACUUGGGAUGAUUUGAAACUUGCCAUGCGACAUACUUUCGUCCCUGCUUAUUAUACUCGUGACAUGAUUAAGAAGUUGCAACACUUAAAACAAGGUAGUGAAACUGUAACAAAAUAUUAUGAUGAUUUACAAACUACCUUGUUGCAUUCCUCUUUAGAAGAAAGUGAAGAUGAUUUUAUGGAUAGAUUUUGGGGAGGAUUAAACCGUGAUAUUCAAGAGAUACUAAUUCAUGAAGAGUGUUAUCCUAUGGACCAUUUGUUUCAUCUUGCUUGCAAAGCUGAACAGGAAAUAAAACAACGUGUUGGCCACGAGGAGAACAAGCACACAGUGCACAUUCCAAGAGUUGAUAUGAUUGUUCCUUCAACUACUAGGCAUACUAUGACAACCACAUCCGUUGUUGUCAGGACUACAUCACCUCCACCAUGUGACACAUUGCCCCCGAGAGUGGCUACAUCAUCUGAGUUGAUCAUAAGAGGUAACGACAAAGGUACUGAUCUUCCAUCUCUACAUGAGAAUGAUGAAUGCCUUGUCAAUUUGAAUGCACCAUCUGAUGAGCUAUCCACUACUUUGAUCACACCACCUAUUUUAGAGGACUAUGUUGAUAAUUUGACUUUGCCAUGUGAUCAAACAACUGAAAUACCAACAAUUUUGAGUGCACCCAUUGAAUUAACUAUUGAUGCAAAAGAACCAAUGUUUAAUCAUUUUAAUAUGACCUCUAAUCUUGGUGAUGAUUCUGUGUUGAAUGACUUAUUGCAUGUUUGCUUAUUUAAGCAUGUUGUAGCAUGUAAAUUUGAUGCAAGUAAGGUUUAUUCACCAAUGUUGGGAUGGUUUAAUGAUGAACAUUGUCAAUCUUUUGAAAUGAAUAAGAGCUUCACUUAUAUGUGCAAACUGAGUUGCAAUAUUUUCAUGCCUUCUACUUCUUGUGCUAAUUUUUUGGCUUUAGAUUUUAUGAACUAUGCAAGUUACUCAUCUAUUUAUGUGUCAUAUAUGCAAAAAUCAAGGGAAGUAAAAAUGGAUGACAUAUACAUAUAUAACAUGUACACCUUGUCUCUUUUGUUAGCCACAUUUCAGAUUAAGCAACGCCGAGGACGGCUUUAUUUUCAAGAAGGGGAGGAUGAUGAGGACAUGACUACCUUGGAUAUGACCAAAAAUAUUGCAUAUAUGCAUAUUUGUCAGGUGAUUUCUAGUGCAAACUAUUCAAUAAUCUAUUUAUGUUAUCCAGAACAAAAAUACUUCAUACACUUUUGUGUUUUGUCUAAUUGCAGGUGUAUGGGACAUUUGUACAAUCCACAUAUGAAGAUAAGGAAGAAAGAGAUGUUUAUUUGCUGUCCAAAAAGUUCUCUCACGUCACUUUUGGCCCAAGAGAAGAUAGAGUCCAAGUCUCUCACGUUCUGGAUUCAGAUUCGGACUGCACAGACAUACCUGACUCAAAACGCACACAAGUUUUUCAUACGGACUCCGAAUUGGGUGAUUCUUUUUUUGAUGGAAACUAGAUUUCGUGCACUUUCCAACCCAAUUGGAAUCACCUUCAAAUUCGUCCGGAGCGUUGAGUUGUGGACGAAACAAUCUGAUGCUGCAGCAGAAUCCGAGUCAAACUACAAGUCCAAAGGUGUUACAUCACCUCCACUUGGGCCCAUUGGCCUUGUACGACCUAGAUUUAGUUUUAGGCUGCCUUGGGACGUCCUCCCACCUCCUUGGCCGCCACCCCUUCCUCCUAUAUAAGUAGAUCCAUCUAGUAGCUUCUCAUUGGGAUUUGUUUAGUUAAAAGUUAGCCAUUGCAACUUCGUGUACUUCGUUUGUGUCCAACGACCAGACCAAGACCGCUUACGGAUCCCCACCUUUAUCAAUACUUCAUAUAUACUCGCAAUAUUCAGAUUGCUUUAUCAUACUCUUGCUCGUUCUUCGAUUGCUUGCAGGAAUAGACCUUCGUGGUCAGGCUGACCGUGCUUCCAGCAUUGUCAGUAACCUCAGGAGAUUGGUUUAGCGAUUGCUAAGGCGCAACGUCGUGCACGUUUGUAGUCGGAUCGUCAAAGUCGUCUCCACCAAAUCGAUAGUUAUCAUCUCAUCGAAAGAUUGGGACACCCUCGCCUCUAUCAGCCAGUCGCCCCGAAGUUCAACCCAUGGUCCUCCUGCCCGAUCACUUUUGAUCGAAGGGACCACCCCACCAGCAUCCGCCACGGCGGAUUCACCGCAUUGGUUUUAGACCCAAUCAUCGAUGGAUUUCACCUCACCAGAGUCCUGAUGGACGGCGGCAGCAGCCUAAACCUGCUUUAUCAGGAUACAUUGUGCAAGAUGGGCAUAGACCCCUCAAGGAUUAAACCCACGAAGACGAGCUUCAAAGGCGUCAUACCAGGUGUAGAAGCCAAUUAUACAGGCUCAGUUACACUGGAAGUGGUCUUCGGAUCCCCGGAUAACUUCCGAAGCGAGGAGUUAAUCUUCGACAUAGUUCCGUUCCGCAGCGGCUAUCAUGCUCUGCUCGGACGGACCGCGUUUGCAAAGUUCAACGCGGUGCCGCACUACGCAUACCUCAAGCUCAAGAUGCCAGGCCCUCGAGGAGUCAUCACGGUCAACGGAAACAUUGAACGCUCUCUCCGAAUGGAGGAACAUACAGCGGCUCUCGCGGCACAAGUACAGUGCAGCCUCUUAAGGCAAUUCUCGAGUCCGGCCAUUAAGCGACCGGACAUGGCUAAACGCGCCCGAAGUAACCUACAACAAGACCACCUAGCACGUUCCGAGCACGCGUAGCAAUGCGGCCCCAACCCCAGCCCUUGCAAAAUUGCAAGACUGGUCCUUCGUGUACAUCAUUAUGCUCUGGAGAUACCAUGGGCAUAGGGGGAGGGGACGACCACGACAGGCCCAGAAUGCGGCUUAACCACACCAGGGGCUCCCAAGUGUGUCAUCCUUUCUUUUUCCUUUUUCUUUUCUUGUUAUCCACAGGACUCCGUUCACCAGAGGCCCUGUCCGGCAGUAGACCUGCCGAACUCACGAUGCAACAGCCAGGGAAGGAGAAAGGCUACGACGAGUAUCUAGGUGGUCUCCAUUACGAGCAUUAAAUCUGUUUUAUACACCAUUCCGCAGCCUACCCCUGGAGGGGGACAUGUUUAAUAGUCCCAUCCCUUGCUUACCACACUAUUUGUAUCGUUCUGCAUUCAUGGCAGUAUUUCUUGAAUAAACAAUGCAUCGCUUUUUUGCUUAUAAUUGCAUUCCUUUCUUAUACAUAUGUUCAUUUAUGACAUGUUGCAUCCGUACACGUUGGUACGGCUAAAUACACCAGGGGCUUAAGUUCCCAACAUUAUGGUGUGAUAAGUCUGAACACUUUCACAAGUGCGGCACCCUGAACUUAUAGCAUUAUAUGCAUCGGCUCCGAAUCAUGUCUUGGGUCAAUAGUUGGGUUUGCCCGGCUCCCAUGUUUUGGUACCUUACGUUCCGUUGUAUCGGCUAAGGUAGCGCUGGGAGAACCACUGCGAUUGCGCCCCAGUUGAGCUGGGCGAGCGCCUCAGUGGAGAAAGCUAAAACUGACCGUCAUGAUGAGGCGAGAGCCGGUCUCUAUUCGAGAGGUUUUUUCGAGUCCCUAAAGACUUAUGCCGCUUAGAGCGAGGAACCGGCUUUGUCCGGCCCAGGCGUGGAUAGCGCCCCGAAUUCGGCCUUCCAAACACUAGGGGCUUCGCCGAAAUUUAAAAUUAUAGAAUUCUAUGGCUAAGUGAGAGUGUUCAACCAUUAUAAGUCCGGUUGCCUCGUUCGUUGUGUUGAGCGCCUCCCUAGAUGGACCCAAAAAUGGGAACAAGAGUGCUCAAAUUUAUCCUGAACACCCCAGCACUCGUGGCAUGGGGGCUAAAGCCGACGACUUGCCAUCUCUCAGAUUUGAUAAAUGGCCGCACAGAAGGUAAUAUUUUAAAUUAACAAGCGUUGCUUAGCGCACAUGAACAAAGUUUUCAGUGCACAGGAUAACAAAAUGCGAGUCUAUUCAAAUAUUACAUCUUUGGAGCACCCACCCGCAAUCAUGCGGGCACCCUUCAGGACACCCUUAUAAUACAUCUCGGGCGAGCGAUACUCCUUGCCCGGCGGUGGCGCGUCCGUCACAAGCUUCUCAGCGUCCAUCUUGCCCCAGUGCACAUUAGCACGGGCAAGGGCCCGACGGGCACCUUCAAUGCAGGCGGAGUGCUUGAUGACUUCAACACAUGGAUAAGCAUCCACCAGCUGCCGCACCAGGCCGAAGUAGCUCCCAGGCAUGGCCUCCUUGGGCCACAGCCGAACUAUGAGGCCCUUCAUGGCCUAUUCAGCCAACUUGUGGAGCUCGACCAGCUGCUUCAGCUGGUCGCUAAGGGGCACCGGAUGUCCGGCCUCAGCAUACUGAGACCAGAAGACCUUCUCCAUCGAGCUCCCCUCCUCGGCCCUGUGGAAAGCGGCAACAUCGGACACGCUGCGGGGCAGAUCUGCGAACGCUCCUGGAGAGCUCUGAAUUCGGGUAAGUAAUAGGUAAUCGACAUUCACAUGCUUGCUUUGCAUGAAAAAUGCCUUACCCGCCACUAUUUUCUUCAAUGCCUCGAUUUCCUGGAGGGCCUUGUGGGCUUCGGCCUUAGCGGCUUUGGCACUCUCAAGAGCCGAUGCAAGCUCGGACUCUCGAGUCUUCGAGUCGCGCUCCAAACUCUCAUGUUUUUCCACGAGAGCCUGGAGCUCUUGCUGUACCUCCGCCACCCGCGCCUCCUGCUUCUCUCGCCCAGCAUGCUCCGCGGCCGCAUUACGUUCGGCCGCGGACACCGCCUCCUUCAGGGUCGCCACCUCGUUCGUGGCCCCUGGAGUACCCACGUUAUCCUUGUCAUUCCUCUUGCAACCAAAUCCUUUUCUGUAAGGUACAACUUUAAUAAGGUGUUACUCACCUUCCUUGUCCUCGAGCUGCUUCUUGGCACAGUCGAGCUCGUUCUCAGACUGCUCGAGGCCUUGCUUCAAAGCAUUGACCUCCGCAGUCAGUGCGGCAGAGGUCAGCAGCGCAGCCUGCAAUCCCAUAUUGACAUAUUUUUUAAGACUCCUACGUAUAUCUUUUUAGAUCCUCAGUCCGACUUUUCUUUUCAAACACCGAACUGAGCAUCGGGGGCUACUGUCUAUGCGGUACUAUUUUACAUAUAUUAAAAUUCUUACCUCAAAGCCUGUUAGAAGGCUGCUGCAGGCCUCGGUCAGCCCGCUUUUGGCGAGCUGAACCUUCUGAAUCAGCGCACUCAUGAUAGUGUGGUGUUCCUCUUCAAUGGAAGCGCCGUUGAGCUCCUCCAGCAAGUUAUCCGGCGCCUCCGGUUGGACGGAGGCCGCUGGCGUCACAGUGUUGCCCUUCUUACGAAGGGGCCGCCCGCCGGACUCCGGAACCACUGCAGGUUCCAUUGCGGAGUCCGGUACGAAGUCCGGGAGGUUGCCCUGUGGCACCUCCGGGGCCUCCUCCUCCGGGUGGGUCCCUCUCUGGGAUCCCACCUCGGCGUCGUCGGCAUCACGGGGGGUGGAGGUGGUCGGAAGUGAAGUACUAUCCACAUCCGACGUAUCCAAGGACCCGCUCGACGAAGCGGGAAGAUCGUCCUUCAGCGGACUGCAGGGUUGUAUGCGGCAUUAGAAAGACACUGUGUGAAAAGAAAAAUCAUGAAGUUAUUCGGGAGUCCAGAUACUUACGAUCUCGCCAGGGGCUUGGCCCUUGCGGGCCACUCCUCGUCGCCGUCGCCGACGUUGGCGGAACAGUCCGGGGGAAGGGUCCUUCCCUUCUUGGACCCUUCGGCCUCCCUCGUUGGGGAGGCCUUCCUCUUCUUCUCUCCCCCCGCCGGGGGAGAGGCCUCUUUCUUCUCCUCCUCGUCCUCGUGGGAGGAGUCCGCCUCGGAGUCAUCGGACGAUGGGUCCGAUACCACCUGACGCCGGGAACUCCUUCGGGUUCCCGUGGCCUUCUUCUUGGCCUUCUUCUCCGGCACUAUGUAAAGUGCCAGGACCAGCAGCCCUAUCAAACGGGCAUCCGCUGGGUCUUCUGGAAGGGGAGCCGGACAGUUAACCUGUCUGGACGUUGCCUGCCAGGCCUGUUAAAGGUAUUGGGAGUUUAGAUCCCGCAUAAAGUCAAAACAUGAAAAGCAAGUGUCCCAUAAAGGAUAACAUGGUUUACCUCGCUAGCCGGACGCUGCGAGCUGAAUCCGCGAUCUUCGGUAGCGGAUGCGGGAGCUUCGGCGCCCCUUAACAGCACCCUCCAGGCAUCUUCGUACGUAGUGUCGAAGAGCCCGCUCAAGGUUCGGUGCUGUGCCGGAUCAAACUCCCACAAAUUGAAGUCCCGUUGCUGGCAGGGGAGAAUCCAGCGGACGAGCAUGACCUGGAUCACGUUGACAAGCUUGAGCUUCUUAUUCACCAGGGUUUGGAGACAGGACUGGUGUCCGGUCAGCUCUUCCGAACUACCCCAUAGCAAGCCCUUCUCUUUCCAGGAGGUGAGCCGCAUGGGGAUGCCAGAUCUGAAUUCGGGGCCUGCUGCCCAUUUAGGGUCACGCGGCUCGGUGAUGUAGAACCCCCCCCCCCGAUUGCCACCCUUUGAUGGUUUCCAUGAAGGCGCCCUCAAGCCAAGUGACGUUGGGCAUUUUGCCCACCAUGGCGCCUCCGCACUCUGCUUGGCUGCCCUUCACAACCUUCGGCUUGACAUUGAAGGUCUUUAGCCACAAGCCGAAGUGGGGCUGGAUGCAGAGGAAGGCCUCGCACACAACGAUAAACGCCGACAUAUUGAGGAUGAAAUUCAUGGCCAGAUCGUGGAAAUCCAGGCCGUAGUAGAACAUGAGCCCCCGAACAAAGGGGUGGAGUGGGAAGCCCAGUCCGCGGAGGAAAUGGGGAACGAAUACCACCCUCUCAUGGGGCCCGGGGGUGGGGAUGAGCUGCCCCUCGUCGGGGAGCCGGUGCGCGAUGUCGCUGCACAGAUAUCCGGUGCUGCGCAGCUUCUUGAUGUUCCCCUCCGUAACGGAGGAGGCCAUCCACUUGCCUCCCGCUCCGGACAUGGCUGGAGAAGGUCGAGGUGAGAUAUGCGGACUUGGGCACUGGAGCUCGAGUGCGCGGAGAUGGAUAAGCAAAGGAGGAAGAAGGCGUAGGUAAAAAAAGGUGGAUCCUUAUCCCCUUAUAUAUGGGCGGACGAAACUAUGCGUCCCCACUGGCCUGGUAAAACUCGCUUUUCUCCCAUGCACCGCAAUCAAUGGCGCGGUUGGGUUACCCACGUCCGUAUUGAUGGGAAUCCUGGAAUAAGGGGAACACGAUCUCUGCUUCGACAAGACGUGCCAAGGAAACCGCUUCGCUAAACGCGCUGAGGUGGUAUAAUAAAAACGAUUCGAGUAAAAGCUUGGUUGUGGUGUGACGUCACGCCACAAAAUACGUCAGCAGAUUGAACUUGUGUAAAUAUUAUUCUCUCUACGGUUGAUGUAGGGCGGAACCCUAAGUAGUCGAUCUUUCACGUUUGGAGGGAUCCCACGGGAGAAACACGAGAAAUGCGCGGAAAUCACAAAGGGGAAUACGAGGGAAACGAGAGAGAAUCACUAAACCGAACAAGAAUCGAUUACACGAGUGCUAGAUCAUCACACACAUAAGGUAACACAUGGUCCACAAUCAACAAAGGGAAAGGAUACAAUGGAACGGUUCUUCUCCAAGAGGAGGCCUUGAUGUUCUUCCCUAAAGAGGGGUCUUGAAUCCGCUUGGGGAUCUUCUCCGGAGAGGUCCUGAUCUCCGAGGAGAAGUAUCCAAGUGGAUGAGCAAAGGCUCUCACACAAAAUGAGCUAAUCCAAUGCUAAGUCUCAAAAGGAGGAGGAGGAGUCCUAUUUAUAGGCUAGGGGGGUGAAGGGGUACAUGGGCAAAGCCCAACACGCGUACACAGGCGCUAGCCGGAUGAUCCGGGUUCGAAGCCGGAUGAUCCGGGCUGGUCCGGAUGGUCCGGGUGGAGGCCCGGAUGAUCCGGAGGCUCGGCUCAUGAAGGCGCAGGGCCAGACGUCUGGCUGGCGGUCCGGAUGUCCGGGCAGGGUCCGGAUGAUCCGGGACGGGGUCUGGAUGAUCCGGCUUCAGGCUGGAGCUUCUGUUGUCUUCGGUGUCAAAUAGCCGGAUCGUCCGGGCCGGGGUCCGGAUCGUCCGGGCUCUGUCCAGAUCAUCCGGGCCGCCGUCCGGAUCGUCCGACCAGUCUGGUCCUUGGCGUUUUUCCUCUCCGUCUUCACGCAUGUCUUCCGCUUCCGGUUCUUCUUGCUUCCUAGCUUCUUCACGGUGAACUCCUUGGUACCUGAGAAUGCAUAGCGUUUCCGUUUGAGGUAGUAACCAUGUCUCAAGUGAAUCGAAAGGGAAUUGGGAGAGGAGAGAUGUCACCUCGGUUUCGAGAGCUCUUGCACGUGCUCGAGUCAUAGGUCCAAGUGGUGUUGUAGGGGAUGUAGAUGCGUCCAUGGGGAUGAUCAUGGGAUGCUCCGCAUCAUCUCCCCCCCUUGUGAAAGAUCCAACCUCGGAUCGUAAUCCUCAUCACCAUGGUACGGGGAUAGAUCGGAGACGUUGAAGAUGUCGCUCACGUUGUACUUGUCGCAUGGGAGGUCGAUCUUGUAAGCGUUGUUGUUGUAGCGUGCUAGUACCUUGAAGGGUCCGUCGGCUCGAGGGAGAAGCUUGGACUUGCGUUCGUUGGGGAAGCGGUCCUUGCAAAGGUGCAGCCACACUAGGUCUCCAAUGUUGAACAUCAUGGGUUGCUUGUUGAUGUUGAGCUUGGACGCUAGUCGUUGUACUUGGCGCUCGAUGGUGUGCCUUGUAUCCUCAUGCAUCUUCUUUAUGUAGCUUGCUCGUGCACUCGCAUCCAUGUUAGUGCGCUCUUGUAGAGGAAGAGGUAGUAUGUCCAAUGGUGACAACGGGUUGAAGCCGUAGACGACCUGGAAGGGGGACCAUCCGGUAGUCGAAUGUCUUGCCCGGUUGUAGGCGUACUCGGUGAUGGGUAGACACGCCUCCCACUCCUUGAUGUUCUUCUUGAUCAACACACGAAGUAGAGUGGAUAGUGUCCGGUUCGUCACCUCCGUUUGGCCGUCGGUUUGAGGAUGGUAUGCGGAUGAGAACAAGAGCUUGAUUCCGAGCUUGGCGCAUAGAGUCUUCCAAAAGUAACUCAAGAACUUGACGUCUCGAUCGGAGACAAUUGUCUUUGGUACUCCAUGGAGGCACAAGAUUUCCCUACAAAAGAGAUUUGCAAUAUGUGAAGCAUCGUCUAUCUUGUUGCAAGGAAUGAAAUGUGCCAUCUUAGAGAAUCGGUCCACAAUGACAAACACGGAAUCCUUUCCAUUUUGAGUUCUAGGCAAACCAAGUACAAAAUCCAUACUAAUGUCUUCCCAUGGUUGAUAGGGAAUAGGAAGAGGCAUGUAAAGACCAUGAGAUUGAGCUUUAGUGAUGAGGACAUCAAUACAAUUGUUACACCCACAGCCCCUGCUGCUAUACAUACUGGACCAAUUACUAGAGCUCAUGCACACCAACUAAAUUACCAGGUACUUUCGUUUCUUGGUAAUGAUUCUAAUGUUCAUGAGAAUAUGAUGCUGCCUAAAUUGGAUACAUUUGUUUUGCUUACAAAUGAAGGGCCUAGCUUGGAGAAGGAUGAACAUUGGAGCAAGAACAAGCAUGGAGAUGAUGGCAUGCACAAGGGGAACAAGAACGGAGUUACAAGUGAUGAUUUCAGGACUUUGAAGCCACCAUAAUGGGUGCAUGAAGCCUUGGACGAAAUAUACAAGAUGCCACUUCAUAAAUUUCGUCCCGAGGCUAUUUUAGGUGCUGCGUCACCUUAUUAUUGGGCCAGGCCCAUGUAAUUUCGAAAUACAUAAGUAUAGGCUAUUUUUAGAGUCCGUAUGUGUGGGGAAACAAGAGAUAGGGUUGAUUUCGGACCCCUCCACCAAGGGCCACGAAAUUCCCCCCUCUUCCUCCAUAUAUACAGCCCUUAGGGCAUCGUUUAGACUUUGGGUUUUGUUUGGAUUAAAAGUUCGCCAUAGCUGCAACUUCGCGUACUUCGUUUGUGUUCAACGACCAGACAAAGGCGUCAUAGAACCCCACCUUGAUCAAUAAAGCUUUCAUCUUAUAUUCGCAAUAUCCAGAUUGCAAUCUCAGUUUCUUGCUUGUUCUUCGUUUGCUCGCAGGAAACAGACCCUCGUGGUCAGGUUGAUCGUGCUCCGGCGUGGUCAAUAACCUCUCGGAGUUGGUUUAGCGAUUGCUAAGGCGCGACGUCCUCGCACGUUCGUAGUCGGAUCGUCAAAGUCGACUUCCACCAAAGUGAUAUCCAUCAUCUCAUCGAAAGACGGGACACCUCCGCCUCUAUCAAGUGGUAUCAGAUUUCCAGGUUGCUCGGUGAGAUUUUACAGUAUUUCGUAGUUUAGAUCGAGUCUGUUCUUCAUACCUACAGUCCACGAAAAAGCCACAAAAAAAAAAAUUAGGGUUAGUUCAUCUUAUCCGAACCAAUCUGAGCCUUUGCAUAAUCUUUUUAGGGUUUUGCUUUGUUGAAUUUGCGGUUGCAUCGUCGUGUCUAGUUGCUGGUCUUAGAGUCUAGUCUUUUAGAGUUUCGAGUUCUGGUCAUAAGUUGUCACGCCGCCGCCGCACCAUCAUCAUCGCCCCUGCCAUCUACCACCACCGCUUAUCCGCCACCGCUCCGAAUCCGUAUCCAUAUACCACCACCAAUCCGUGUCCAUAUACCACCACUGAUCCAUAUCCAUAUACUACCACCGCUACCACCACCGCUGCCAUAUACCACCACCAUAUAUCCACCACCAAUCCGAGUUCCUUGCAUAUUAGGUUUGUUUUCGAGAUCCAUCUAGAUUCCGAUUCGUGUUUCCUUGCCGGAGUCGGGUAGCCACGCUCCGUUUAGGCCCAAAAUUUUUCGAAAAAAAUUCUGGCUAUCCUAUUUUUAGGUGUUUCUGAGUGUUUUGAGACAGGUGCCAUUAUAGGAAGUUUUUUUGACCUGUUUCCAGUUUUUGGGACCGGGCAGUCGAAAAAAAAAAUUUGGUCGAAAAAAAAAAUUUCGUGCCCAUCCUGUCAGUUUGACCUAGGAAGAGUUUUGAGACACUCGCCAUUAUAGUGAUUUUUCGCAAAAAAAAGCAGCGCAAAAAAAAAGAGCGAAAAAAAAAUUCAGAGUGUGCUUUUCCCUUGUUUACGUGCCGCGCCGUGAUUUUGUUGGUGUUCUAGGCUCGCGUCUCUAGCACAGUCUAGCCUAGGACCAGCACAAUACGUCGUUGAGCGUUUAUUCAACUUUGCAUCUCUGAAUUGAUUAUUGCUGACCCUUUUUGCUACCAUACUAUAAGCCUUCCCAGCUCCACAUACAUCUACGUCGUGUGUUUGACUCUCCCUGGUAAUCGCUCUAUCCAAGCUUUGACAGUUUUUGACUACAACGGUUGCCGAUCACCGCCUGCUGCUGGGUAAGAACUGGUAAGAAUUUGAGAUUUGCUUGACGGAUUUGUGAUACAUCACCACCACUUCUUAGUAGUCUGUAGGAUCAUAUUCUUCUGUGUUUCUAUUGCUGCUAACCAUGCCAGGAUCACAAGCCGACGAGAUUGACUGGGAGAACUUAUCGAACAAGGAGCUUCAUGAUAAGUUUCAGCAAAUGAUGACUGAACAGGUACAAGAUGUGCUGAACAAUUUUGAAGAGGCCAUGGAGAAGAUCACUGGCCUUGAGAAGAUGUUCGAAACAAAGCUCGAUAACAGAUUUAAUGAACUGCUUGCGCGUCUUCCACCACCGGCUGCACCUGUCGCACCUCUGCAACAACAACAACUACGCCCCCUUCCGAAUCAGUAUGGACGAGCACAGCGUGUUCCUAUUGUGCCAGGACAAAAUUCUGGUGCCGCUGUUACUGCUGUUGGUGCUUCUUUGGCUCCUGCUACUGCUCCUGCUGGUACCCAGGAGGAUGAUGAGUAUGCGGGCGAUUAUGAGGAUGAGGUUGAUCAAAAUCAGAUCUACGAGCAGCCACCAGCACCACCACCAGCAGGUCGACCUCAGGUAUAUAUUCGUAAUGGUAGGCCUGCACCACCACCUCAAGUACGAGAUGAUGUCCAUAUUCCUAAACUGAAAUUGAAUAUUCCACCAUUUGAGGGUAGAUAUGUUCCUGAUAUAUAUCUUACUUGGGAGUUAGAAACUGAACAACGAUUUACAUGUUCAAUAUCCUGAGGAGAGACGAGUUGCUGCUGCUGUUUGUGCUUUCACUAGUUUUGCAUGUGUAUGUUGGUCUGAACAUUGUAGAUUAUAUCCUAUUCCAACUACUUGGGCUGCUUUGAAAACUGCUAUGCGUACGCGUUGGGUUCCACCAUAUUAUCAACGUGAAUUGCUUCAAAAAUUGCAGCGUUUAAGACAAGGGAAAAAUUCUGUAGAAGAAUAUUAUCAGGAAUUACAAACUGACAUGAUUAGAUGUGGUAUUGUGGAGGAGAAUGAAGCUAUGCUUGCACAUUUUCUGGGUGGAUUAAAUAGAGAGAUUCAGACCAUUCUAGACUAUAAGGAGUAUACUAAUAUCACUCGUUUAUUCCAUCUUGCUUGUAAAGCUGAACGUGAAGUGCAGGAUCGACAAGCAUUAGGGCGAACUAACUUUUCUGCAGGCCGACCUUCAUCAUGGACACCACGUGCAUCUUCUACUUCAACUGCACCAGCGCCUCCAUCCGGUGCCACCUCCAGCCGUGAUACAAGAAAACAGGCACAACCACCAUUAUCUGCCAAGAGCGCACCUGCGGGGCCUGCACAGCGUUCGUCUUCUUCCAUGGCAUCAACAGGGCACACAAGUGAUAUUAUUUGUCGUCGUUGUAAGGGAGGAGGUCAUUAUGCGAGGGAAUGCAAAUCUCCGCGUGUGAUGAUUGCUACCGCGGAUGGUGGAUAUGAGUCCGCUAGUGACUAUGAUGAGGAGACAUUGGCUCUUAUUACACGUGAAGAACAUGGUGGAGAUGAUUCUGAUCAUGAGACGCAAUACAUGGCUCCUGAAGACGCUGACAGGUAUGAAUGUUUAGUUGCUCAACGUGUUUUGAGUGUGCAGGUCACACAAGCUGAGCAAAAUCAGAGGCACAAUUUGUUCCAUACCAAGGGAGUUGUGAAGGAACGUUCUGUGCGCAUCAUAAUAGACGGAGGGAGCUGCAACAACUUGGCUAGCAUGGAGAUGGUGGAGAAGCUUUCUCUCACCACAAGACCACAUCCACAUCCUUACUACAUCCAAUGGUUCAACAACAGCGGCAAGGUUAAGGUAACACGUACUGUUCUUGUGCAUUUUAGUAUCUCUACAUAUGCUGAUUAUGUUGAUUGUGAUGUGGUACCUAUGCAAGCAUGUUCCUUAUUACUUGGUAGACCAUGGCAAUUUGAUAAAAAUUCUGUACACCAUGGUAGAAACAAUCACUAUACUCUUGUUCAUCAGGAUAAAAAUAUUACUUUGCUUCCUAUGACUCGUGAUUCCAUUUUGAAAGAUGAUAUUAAUAGAGCUAAUAAAGCAAAACAGGAGACGAAUAAGAGUGAAAAUCAGAUUGUGGCAAAAGAAUUUGAGCAACAAAUGAAGCCUAAUAAUAAACCAUCUAGUGUUGCUUCUGAAAUUAAAUUGAAAAGUGCAUGUUUAUUUGCCACCAAAUCUGAUAUUGAUGAGCUAGAUUUCAGCAAAUCUGUUUGCUAUGCUUUUGUGUGCAAAGAGGCAUUAUUUUCAUUCGAGGACGUGCCUUCCUCUUUGCCUCCUGCUGUCACUAACAUUUUGCAGGAGUUCGCUGACGUCUUUCCACAAGACGUGCCACCGGGAUUACCGCCUAUUCGAGGGAUUGAGCAUCAAAUUGACUUAAUUCCCGGUGCUUCACUGCCAAACCGUGCACCAUACCGUACCAAUCCAGAGGAGACGAAGGAGAUUAUGCGUCAAGUACUACUUGAUAGAGACGAGGGUCCCGAUCUUUCGAUGAGAUGAUAACUAUCGAUUUGAUGGAGACGACUUUCACGAUCCGACUACAAAUGUGCACGACGUUGCACCUUAGCAAUCGCUAAACCGAUCUCCUGAGGUUACUGACGAUGCUGGAAGCACGGUCAGCCUGACCACGAAGGUCUAUUCCUGCAAGCAAUCGAAGAACGAGCAAGAAUAUGAUAAAGCAAUCUGAAUAUUGCAAAUAUAUAUGAAGUAUUGAUAAUGGUGGGGAUCCGGAAGCGGUCUUGGUCUGGUCGUUGGACACAAACGAAGUACACGAAGUUGCAAUGGCUAACUUUUAACUAAACAAAUCCCAAAGUCUAAACGAUGCCCUAAGGGCUGUAUAUAUGGAGGAAGAGGGGGGGAAUUUCGUGGCCCUUGGUGGAGGAGUCCGAAAUCAACCCUAUCUCUUGUUUCCCCACACAUACGGACUCUAAAAAUAGCCUAUACUUAUGUAUUUCGAAAUUACAUGGGCCUGGCCCAAUAAUAAGGUGACGCAGCACCUAAAAUAGCCUCGGGACGAAAUUUAUGAAGUGGCAUCUUGUAUAUUUCGUCCAAGGCUUCAUGCACCCAUUAUGGUGGCUUCAAAGUCCUGAAAUCAUCACUUGUAACUCCGUUCUUGUUCCCCUUGCGCAUGCCAUCAUCUCCAUGCUUGUUCUUGCUCCAAUGUUCAUCCUUCUCCAAGCUAGGCCCUUCAUUUGUAAGCAAAACAAAUGUAUCCAAUUUAGGCAGCAUCAUAUUCUCAUGAAUAUUAGAAUCAUUACCAAGAAACGAAAGUACCUGGUAAUUUAGUUGGCGUGCACGAGCUCUAGUAAUUGGUCCAGUAUGUAUAGCAGCAGGGGCUGUGGGUGUAACAAUUGUAUUGAUGUCCUCAUCAAAUUGCUUCAAAAAUUGCAGCGUUUAAGACAAGGGAAAAAUUCUGUAGAAGAAUAUUAUCAGGAAUUACAAACUGGCAUGAUUAGAUGUGGUAUUGUUGAGGAGAAUGAAGCUAUGCUUGCACAUUUUCUGGGUGGAUUAAAUAGAGAGAUUCAGACCAUUUUAGACUAUAAGGAGUAUACUAAUAUCACUCGUUUAUUCCAUCUUGCUUGUAAAGCUGAACGUGAAGUGCAGGAUCGACAAGCAUUGGGGCGAACUAACUUUUCUGCAGGCCGACCUUCAUCAUGGACACCACGUGCAUCUUCUACUUCAACUGCACCAGCACCUCCAUCCGGUGCCACCUCCAGCCGUGAUACAAGAAAACAGGCACAACCACCAUUAUCUGCCAAGAGCGCACCUGCGGGGCCUGCACAGCGUUCUUCUUCUUCCAUGGCAUCAACAGGGCACACAAGUGAUAUUAUUUGUCGUCGUUGUAAGGGAGGAGGUCAUUAUGCGAGGGAAUGCAAAUCUCCGCGUGUGAUGAUUGCUACCGCGGAUGGUGGAUAUGAGUCCGCUAGUGACUAUGAUGAGGAGACAUUGGCUCUUAUUACACGUGAAGAACAUGGUGGAGAUGAUUCUGAUCGUGAGACGCAAUACAUGGCUCCUGAAGACGCUGACAGGUAUGAAUGUUUAGUUGCUCAACGUGUUUUGAGUGUGCAGGUCACACAAGCUGAGCAAAAUCAGAGGCACAAUUUGUUCCAUACCAAGGGAGUUGUGAAGGAACGUUCUGUGCGCGUCAUAAUAGACGGAGGGAGCUGCAACAACUUGGCUAGCAUGGAGAUGGUGGAGAAGCUUUCUCUCACCACAAGACCACAUCCACAUCCUUACUACAUCCAAUGGUUCAACAACAGUGGCAAGGUUAAGGUAACACGUACUGUUCGUGUGCAUUUUAGUAUCUCUACAUAUGCUGAUUAUGUUGAUUGUGAUGUGGUACCUAUGCAAGCAUGUUCCUUAUUACUUGGUAGACCAUGGCAAUUUGAUAAAAAUUCUGUACACCAUGGUAGAAACAAUCACUAUACUCUUGUUCAUAAGGAUAAAAAUAUUACUUUGCUUCCUAUGACUCCUGAUUCCAUUUUGAAAGAUGAUAUUAAUAGAGCUAAUAAAGCAAAACAGGAGACGAAUAAGAGUGAAAAUCAGAUUGUGGCAAAAGAAUUUGAGCAACAAAUGAAGCCUAACAAUAAACCAUCUAGUGUUGCUUCUGAAAUUAAAUUGAAAAGUGCAUGUUUAUUUGCCACCAAAUCUGAUAUUGAUGAGCUAGUUUUCAGCAAAUCUGUUUGCUAUGCUUUUGUGUGCAAAGAGGCAUUAUUUUCAUUCGAGGACGUGCCUUCCUCUUUGCCCCCUGCUGUCACUAACAUUUUGCAGGAGUUCGCUGACGUCUUUCCACAAGACGUGCCACCGGGAUUACCGCCUAUUCGAGGGAUUGAGCAUCAGAUUGACUUAAUUCCCGUUGCUUCACUGCCAAACCGUGCACCAUACCGUACCAAUCCAGAGGAGACGAAGGAGAUUAUGCGCCAAGUACAAGAGCUUCUCGACAAAGGUUAUAUACGCGAAUCCCUUAGUCCUUGUGCUGUUCCUAUUAUUCUAGUGCCGAAAAAGGAUGGUACAUCACGUAUGUGUGUUGAUUGUAGAGGCAUUAAUAAUAUUACUAUUCGUUAUCGUCAUCCUAUUCCUAGGCUAGAUGAUAUGCUUGAUGAAUUGAGUGGCUCUACAAUAUUCUCCAAAGUUGAUUUGCGUAGUGGCUACCAUCAAAUUCGUAUGAAAUUGGGAGAUGAAUGGAAAACAGCAUUUAAAACUAAGUUUGGAUUAUAUGAGUGGUUAGUCAUGCCUUUUGGGUUAACUAAUGCACCUAGUACUUUCAUGAGAUUAAUGAACGAAGUUUUACGUGCUUUCAUUGGACGAUUUGUGGUAGUUUACUUUGAUGACAUAUUGAUUUAUAGCAGAUCUUUGGAAGAACAUUUGGAACAUUUACGUGCUGUUUUUAUUGCUCUACGUGAUGCACGUUUGUUUCGUAACCUUGGGAAGUGCACCUUUUGCAUCGACCGAGUAUCUUUUCUUGGCUAUGUUGUUACUCCACAGGGAAUUGAAGUUGAUAAAGCCAAGAUUGAAGCUAUUGAGAGUUGGCCGCAGCCCAAAACGGUCACACAAGUGAGGAGUUUUCUUGGCCUCGCUGGAUUCUAUAGGCCUUUUGUGAGAGAUUUGAGCACCAUUGCUGCACCUCUCAAUGAGCUUACAAAGAAAGAUGUGCCUUUUCUUUGGGGUACCGCACAGGAAGAAGCCUUCACGGUAUUGAAAGAUAAGUUGACACAUGCUCCUUUACUCCAACUUCCUGAUUUUAAUAAGACUUUUGAGCUUGAAUGUGAUGCUAGUGGAAUUGGAUUAGGCGGUGUGUUAUUACAAGAUGGCAAACCUGUUGCAUACUUUUCUGAAAAAUUGAGUGGGCCUAGUCUGAAUUAUUCUACUUAUGAUAAAGAAUUAUAUGCUCUUGUUCGGACUUUAGAAACAUGGCAACAUUAUUUAUGGCCCAAAGAAUUUGUUAUACAUUCUGAUCAUGAAUCUUUGAAACAUAUUAAAAGUCAAGCUAAACUGAACCGUAGACAUGCUAAAUGGGUUGAAUUCAUUGAGACUUUUCCUUAUGUCAUUAAACACAAGAAGGGAAAAGAAAAUGUUAUUGCUGAUGCAUUGUCUCGCCGCUAUACUAUGCUUUCACAACUUGACUUCAAAAUAUUUGGUUUGGAAACCAUCAAAGAUCAAUAUCUGCAUGAUGCUGAUUUUAAAGAUGUAAUGCAGAAUUGUAAAGAAGGAAGAAUGUGGAACAAGUUUGUUGUUAACGAUGGAUUUGUGUUUCGUGCUAACAAGCUAUGCAUUCCAGCUAGCUCCGUUCGUCUUUUGUUGUUGCAGGAGGCGCAUGGAGGAGGAUUAAUGGGACACUUUGGCGUGAAGAAGACGGAGGACGUACUUGCUACACAUUUCUUUUGGCCAAAGAUGAGACGGGAUGUUGAGCGUUUUAUUGCUCGCUGCACUACAUGUCAAAAAGCUAAGUCACGACUCAAUCCUCAUGGUUUAUAUAUGCCUUUGCCUGUACCUAGUGUUCCUUGGGAGGAUAUAUCUAUGGACUUUGUUUUAGGUUUACCUCGAACAAAGAAGGGGAGGGAUAGCAUAUUUGUUGUCGUGGAUAGAUUCUCGAAAAUGGCACACUUUAUACCAUGUCAUAAAAGCGAUGAUGCUGCUAAUGUUGCUAAUUUGUUCUUUCGUGAAAUUAUUCGCUUGCAUGGUGUGCCAAAUACUAUUGUUUCAGAUCGUGAUACUAAAUUUCUUAGCCACUUUUGGAGAUGUUUAUGGGCUAAGUUGGGGACUAAACUGCUUUUUAGUACUACUUGUCACCCCCAAACUGAUGGACAAACUGAAGUAGUCAAUAGAACGUUGUCUACUAUGCUUAGGGCUGUUUUGAAGAAUAAUAAGAAAAUGUGGGAGGAAUGCUUGCCUCAUAUUGAAUUUGCUUAUAAUAGUUCAUUGCAUUCUACUACUAAGAUGUGCCCUUUUGUAGUUGUGUAUGGUUUCCUACCUCAUGCACCUAUUGAUUUGUUGCCUCUUCCAUCUUCGGAGAAGGUUAAUUUUGAUGCUAAACAACGUGCUGAAUUGAUUUUAAAAAUGCAUGAGUUAACUAAGGAAAACAUUGAGCGCAUGAAUGCUAAAUAUAAACUUGCUGGAGAUAAGGGUAGAAAACAUGUUGUGUUUGCACCUGGAGAUCUUGUUUGGUUACAUUUGCGUAAGGAUAGAUUUCCUGAUUUGCGCAAAUCAAAGUUAAUGCCACGUGCUGAUGGUCCCUUUAAGGUGUUAGAGAAAAUAAAUGAUAAUGCAUAUAAACUUGAGCUGCCUGCAGAUUUUGGGGUUAGUCCCACUUUUAACAUUGCAGAUUUGAAGCCUUAUUUGGGUGAGGAAGAUGAACUUCCGUCGAGGACGACUUCAUUUCAAGAAGGGGAGGAUGCUGAGGACAUCAAUACAAUUGUUACACCCACAGCCCCUGCUGCUAUACAUACUGGACCAAUUACUAGAGCUCGUGCACGCCAACUAAAUUACCAGGUACUUUUGUUUCUUGGUAAUGAUUCUAAUGUUCAUGAGAAUAUGAUGCUGCCUAAAUUGGAUACAUUUGUUUUGCUUACAAAUGAAGGGCCUAGCUUGGAGAAGGAUGAACAUUGGAGCAAGAACAAGCAUGGAGAUGAUGACAUGCGCAAGGGGAACAAGAACGGAGUUACAAGUGAUGAUUUCAGGACUUUGAAGCCACCAUAAUGGGUGCAUGAAGCCUUGGACGAAAUAUACAAGAUGCCACUUCAUAAAUUUCGUCCCGAGGCUAUUUUAGGUGCUGCGUCACCUUAUUAUUGGGCCAGGCCCAUGUAAUUUCGAAAUACAUAAGUAUAGGCUAUUUUUAGAGUCCGUAUGUGUGGGGAAACAAGAGAUAGGGUUGAUUUCGGACCCCUCCACCAAGGGCCACGAAAUUCCCCCCUCUUCCUCCAUAUAUACAGCCCUUAGGGCAUCGUUUAGACUUUGGGUUUGGUUUAGAUUAAAAGUUCGCCAUAGCUGCAACUUCGCGUACUUCGUUUGUGUUCAACGACCAGACAAAGGCGUCACAGAACCCCACCUUGAUCAAUAAAGCUUUCAUCUUAUAUUCGCAAUAUCCAGAUUGCAAUCUCAGUUUCUUGCUUGUUCUUCGUUUGCUCGCAGGAAACAGACCCUCGUGGUCAGGUUGAUCGUGCUCCGGCGUGGUCAAUAACCUCUCGGAGUUGGUUUAGCGAUUGCUAAGGCGCGACGUCCUCGCACGUUCGUAGUCGGAUCGUCAAAGUCGACUUCCACCAAAGCGAAAUCCACUAUCUCAUCGAAAGACGGGACACCUUUGCCUCUAUCAAGAAGCUUUCUCUCACCACAAGACCACAUCCACAUCCUUACUACAUCCAAUGGUUCAACAACAGCGGCAAGGUUAAGGUAACACGUACUGUUCGUGUGCAUUUUAGUAUCUCUACAUAUGCUGAUUAUGUUGAUUGUGAUGUGGUACCUAUGCAAGCAUGUUCCUUAUUACUUGGUAGACCAUGGCAAUUUGAUAAAAAUUCUGUACACCAUGGUAGAAACAAUCACUAUACUCUUGUUCAUAAGGAUAAAAAUAUUACUUUGCUUCCUAUGACUCCUGAUUCCAUUUUGAAAGAUGAUAUUAAUAGAGCUAAUAAAGCAAAACAGGAGAAGAAUAAGAGUGAAAAUCAGAUUGUGGCAAAAGAAUUUGAGCAACAAAUGAAGCCUAAUAAUAAACCAUCUAGUGUUGUUUCUGAAAUUAAAUUGAAAAGUGCAUGUUUAUUUGCCACCAAACCUGAUAUUGAUGAGCUAGAUUUCAGAAAAUCUUUUUGCUAUGCUUUUGUGUGCAAAGAGGCAUUAUUUUCAUUCGAGGACGUGCCUUCCUCUUUGCCUCCUGCUGUCACUAACAUUUUGCAGGAGUUCGCUGACGUCUUUCCACAAGACGUGCCACCGGGAUUACCGCCUAUUCGAGGGAUUGAGCAUCAGAUUGACUUAAUUCCUGGUGCUUCACUGCCAAACCGUGCACCAUACCGUACCAAUCCAGAGGAGACGAAGGAGAUUAUGCGUCAAGUACAAGAGCUUCUCGACAAAGGUUAUAUACGCGAAUCCCUUAGUCCUUGUGCUGUUCCUAUUAUUCUAGUGCCGAAAAAGGAUGGUACAUCACGUAUGUGUGUUGAUUGUAGAGGCAUUAAUAAUAUUACUAUUCGUUAUCGUCAUCCUAUUCCUAGGCUAGAUGAUAUGCUUGAUGAAUUGAGUGGCUCUACAAUAUUCUCCAAAGUUGAUUUACGUAGUGGAUACCAUCAAAUUCGUAUGAAAUUGGGAGAUGAAUGGAAAACAGCAUUCAAAACUAAGUUUGGAUUAUAUGAGUGGUUAGUCAUGCCUUUUGGGUUAACUAAUGCACCUAGUACUUUCAUGAGAUUAAUGAACGAAGUUUUACGUGCUUUCAUUGGACGAUUUGUGGUUAACUAAAGCGAUGAUGCUGUUAAUGUUGCUGAUUUGUUCUUUCGUGAAAUUAUUCGCUUGCAUGGUGUGCCAAAUACUAUUGUUUCAGAUCGUGAUACUAAAUUUCUUAGCCACUUUUGGAGAUGUUUAUGGGCUAAGUUGGGGACUAAACUGCUUUUUAGUACUACUUGUCACCCCCAAACUGAUGGACAAACUGAAGUAGUCAAUAGAACGUUGUCUACUAUGCUUAGGGCUGUUUUGAAGAAUAAUAAGAAAAUGUGGGAGGAAUGCUUGCCUCAUAUUGAAUUUGCUUAUAAUCGUUCAAUGCAUUCUACUACUAAGAUGUGCCCUUUUGAAGUUGUGUAUGGUUUCCUACCUCGUGCACCUAUUGAUUUGUUGCCUCUUCCAUCUUCGGAGAAGGUUAAUUUUGAUGCUAAACAACGUGCUGAAUUGAUUUUAAAAAUGCAUGAGUUAACUAAGGAAAACAUUGAGCGCAUGAAUGCUAAAUAUAAACUUGCUGGAGAUAAGGGUAGAAAACAUGUUGUGUUUGCACCUGGAGAUCUUGUUUGGUUACAUUUGCGCAAGGAUAGAUUUCCUGAUUUGCGCAAAUCAAAGUUAAUGCCACGUGCUGAUGGUCCCUUUAAGGUGUUAGAGAAAAUAAAUGAUAAUGCAUAUAAACUUGAGCUGCCUGCAGAUUUUGGGGUUAGUCCCACUUUUAACAUUGCAGAUUUGAAGCCUUAUUUGGGUGAGGAAGAUGAACUUCCGUCGAGGACAACUUCAUUUCAAGAAGGGGAGGAUGAUGAGGACAUCAAUACAAUUGUUACACCCACAGCCCCUGCUGCUAUACAUACUGGACCAAUUACUAGAGCUCGUGCACGCCAACUAAAUUACCAGGUACUUUCGUUUCUUGGUAAUGAUUCUAAUGUUCAUGAGAAUAUGAUGCUGCCUAAAUUGGAUACAUUUGUUUUGCUUACAAAUGAAGGGCCUAGCUUGGAGAAGGAUGAACAUUGGAGCAAGAACAAGCAUGGAGAUGAUGGCAUGCACAAGGGGAACAAGAACGGAGUUACAAGUGAUGAUUUCAGGACUUUGAAGCCACCAUAAUGGGUGCAUGAAGCCUUGGACGAAAUAUACAAGAUGCCACUUCAUAAAUUUCGUCCCGAGGCUAUUUUAGGUGCUGCGUGACCUUAUUAUUGGGCCAGGCCCAUGUAAUUUCGAAAUACAUAAGUAUAGGCUAUUUUUAGAGUCCGUAUGUGUGGGGAAACAAGAGAUAGGGUUGAUUUCGGACCCCUCCACCAAGGGCCACGAAAUUCCCCCCUCUUCCUCCAUAUAUACAGCCCUUAGGGCAUCGUUUAGACUUUGGGUUUUGUUUAGAUUAAAAGUUCGCCAUAGCUGCAACUUCGCGUACUUCGUUUGUGUUCAACGACCAGACAAAGGCGUCACAGAACCCCACCUUGAUCAAUAAAGCUUUCAUCUUAUAUUCGCAAUAUCCAGAUUGCAAUCUCAGUUUCUUGCUUGUUCUUCAUUUGCUCGCAGGAAACAGACCCUCGUGGUCAGGUUGAUCAUGCUCCGGUGUGGUCAAUAACCUCUCGGAGUUGGUUUAGCGAUUGCUAAGGCGCGACGUCCUCGCACGUUCGUAGUCGGAUCGUCAAAGUCGACUUCCACCAAAGCGAUAUCCAUCAUCUCAUCGAAAGACGGGACACCUCCGCCUCUAUCAUUUAGACUUAGCUUUGCGACAUGUAGAGCAUCGGGUGGUGAAGCGUGAGACGUCGCGGAACAUCUUGGGCCAAAAGUAGUUCUUGGAGAGCGUGGCGAAAGUCUUGUCGCGUCCAAAGUGUCCCAUGAGUCCACCUCCACGAGCCUCUUGCAAAAGUAGCAAACGAAGAGAAGACUCGGGAAUGCAUAGUUUGUUAGCUCUCAUAAGAUAACCAUCCUUGAUGUAAUAUUGUUCCCAAGAUGUAUGCGUCAAACAUCUAGCAUAAUGAGGUGCAAAAGAUGGAUCAUUGGCAUACAAGUCUUUUAUUUGUUCAAAGCCAAUGACAUUCAACUCAAGUUUAGUCACAAGCGUGCAUAUGCGAGAAAGUGCAUCGGCAACUACAUUUUCCUUACCCUUAAUGUACUUGAUCACAUAUGGGAAAGAUUCGAUAAAUUCACUCCAUUUAGCAUGUCGCUUGUUCAACUUAGUUUGACCUUUUAAGUAUUUAAGUGUUUCCUGAUCAGUAUGGAUGACAAACUCAUGAGGUCGAAGAUAAUGUUCCCAAACAUGUAGUACACGCACUAGAGCAUACAAUUCUUUGUCAUAUGUGGGAUAGUUAAGUUGAGCACCGGAGAGUUUCUCACUAAAAAAUGCAAUGGCUCGUUUUUCUUGCAAUAAAACUCCGCCAAUUUCGGUACCACUUGCAUCACAAUGAACCUCAAAAGUUUUGUCAAAGUUGGGCAAAGCAAGAAUCGGAGCAUGUGUAAGCAAAGACUUGAGCUCUUCAAAAGCGGUUGAUUGCAAAGAUCCCCAAACGAAAGGAGUAUUCUUCUUGCUCAAAGCAUGCAAAGGAGCGGCAAUUGUGCUAAAAUCUUUCACAAAGCGACGAUAAAAACCUGCAAGACCAAGGAAACUUCGCACCUGUUGCAAAUUGUUGGGUUGGGGCCAAGUUUUAAUUGCUUCAAUUUUAGUUUCAUCAACAUGGACACCCUUGGAAGAGACAACGAAACCCAAGAAAACCACUUUGUCAACACCAAAUGUGCACUUUUUCAUGUUGGCAUAAAGACUUUCCUUUCGAAGCGUUUGCAAAACAAGUCUAACAUGAUCAAGAUGCUCUUUCAUGGUUUUGCUAAACACAAGAAUAUCAUCAAAGUAAACCACAACAAAGAUUCCAAUGUAAGGUCGAAGUACAUGAUGCAUAAGACGCACGAAAGUACCGGGAGCUUCCGAUAAACCCAUAGGCAUAACUAACCACUCAUAUAAGCCAAAUUUGGUUUUGAAAGCGGUUUUCCAUUCAUCACCCUCAUGAAUGCGUAUUUGAUAAUAGCCACUUUUAAGAUCAAUUUUUGAGAAAAAGUUAGCUCCACUAAGUUCAUCAAGCAUAUCAUCUAAGCGAGGAAUGGGAUGCCUAUAGUGAACGGUGAUAGCAUUUAUAGGUCUACAAUCGGAACACAAGCGGAAACUUCCAUCGGGCUUAGGCACAAGUAUAACGGGAAUGGCACAAGGGCUUAAGCUUUCAUGUACAUGAUUGUUGUCGAUUAGUUGUUGUACUUGCCGUUGAAUCUCCUUGGUUUCUUCGGGAUUGACACGGUAUGGAGCUUUGUCUGGAAGUGGCACUCUGGGGAUGAGGUCGAUUCGAUGCUCAAUGCCUCGUAGAGGAGGUAGACCCGGAGGUAGCUCAUCGGGAAAAACAUCUUGAAAUUCCUGCAAAAAUAGAUUGAAACACCAAAGGUAGCUCGUGAAUGGUGUUAGUUUUAGGUUCUCCAUCCUUGCACACAAGGACAAAGUGCAUCACACUCAAUGGGUUCUCACACACUUCUCUCAUCUCACUUUUGGUGGCAAAUAGGAUGAGGUUUUUCUCUCUAGGCGAAGAGGCGCUCAAGUUUGGCUUGUGGCUCUCACUCACUUUUUGGUGGCUCACUGUCUCACUCUUCUCUCUAUGGUGGGUCGCUUGCUUGUGGGCUAUCACUUGACUAGGAGACAUAGGUCUUAGUACAUACUCCUCCCUUUCAUCUUGAAGCUAUAGUGAUUGAUUCGCCCAUUGUGGAUGACACCACGGUCUAAUUGCCAUGGUCGACCAAGAAGGAGGUGGCAAACGGUCAUUGGGACCAAAUCACACUCCAAAGUGUCUUCAUAUGCACCAAUUUUGAAGGAUACUUGGACCGUAUGCUCAACUCGUAUAGUGCCGGAGUCACUUAGCCAUUGAACCUUGUAGGGGUGUGGGUGCUUCUUCUUGACCAAUUGGAGCUUGGAGCAUAGUUCUUCACUUGCCAAGUUGUGACAACUACCUCCAUCGAUGAUGACCUUGACGGAUCGUCCAUUGAUGCCGGCCUUUGUGUGGAAGAUGUGGCAUCGUUGGUCUUCUUCUUGUUGAUGUUGAAGAGUCAAGACCUUGGAGAUAACGAGAGCGGGGCUUGAAUCCUCAUCACAGAAGACUUGAUCAUCUUCAUCCUCGUUCACGCACCGGUGCAUGGCCACUUGCUCAAGUGCUUCCAUCUCCUCUUCACUCAUGGAGUCAUAUGUGCCAUCUUCGUUGAGGAUCAUGGUGCGCUUGUUCUUGCAUUCAUAGGACUUGUGGCCUCGGCCGCCGCAAGUGAAACACUUGAAGGAGCUUGUCUUGACGGUCGCAUCGGUUGGAGUAGAUGAUGAAGCACGCGGCUUGAGGUUGCUUGUAGUAGGAGGAAGACGACUUGAACUUGCCGAAGUUUUCUUAUAAUUUGACUUGUCGUCGUUGCUUGGAGAAGGCUUGGUUGAUGUUGGAGGAGUCGAUGAAGCUUGGGUGUUGGAGAAGCCGUAGGUCUUGGAUGAGUACUUGGCGUACUUGAAGUCAUCUUGCACUUGACGUUCCGCCUUUGUAGCUUGAUGCACGAGCUCAAUGAGGUUGGAGUAUGAUGAGGACAUGACUACCUUGGAUAUGACCAAAAAUAUUGCAUAUAUGCAUAUUUGUCAGGUGAUUUCUAGUGCAAACUAUUCAAUAAUCUAUUUAUGUUAUCCAGAACAAAAAUACUUCACACACUUUUGUGUUUUGUCUAAUUGCAGGUGUAUGGGACAUUUGUACAAUCCACAUAUGAAGAUAAGGAAGAAAGAGAUGUUUAUUUGCUGUCCAAAAAGUUCUCUCACGUCACUUUUGGCCCAAGAGAAGAUAGAGUCCAAGUCUCUCACGUUCUGGAUUCAGAUUCGGACUGCACAGACACACCUGACUCAAAACAGACACAAGUUUUUCAUACGGACUCCGAAUUGGGUGAUUCUUUUUUUGUUGGAAACUAGAUUUCGUGCACUUUCCAACCCAAUUGGAAUCACCUUCAAAUUCGUCCGGAGCGUUGAGUUGUGGACGAAACAAUCUGAUGCUGCAGCAGAAUCCGAGUCAAACUACAAGUCCAAAGGUGUUACAUCGCCUCCACUUGGGCCCAUUGGCCUUGUACGACCUAGAUUUAGUUUUAGGCUGCCUUGGGACGUCCUCCCACCUCCUUGGCCGCCACCCCUUGCUCCUAUAUAAGUAGAUUCAUCUAGUAGCUUUUCCUUGGGAUUUGUUUAGUUAAAAGUUAGCCAUUGCAACUUCGUGUACUUCGUUUGUGUCCAACGACCAGACCAAGACCGCUUACGGAUCCCCACCAUUAUCAAUACUUCAUACAUAUUCGCGAUAUUCAGAUUGCUUUUAUCAUAUUCUUGCUUGUUCUUCGAUUGCUUGCAGGAAUAGACCUUCGUGGUCAGGUUGAUCGUGCUCCGGCGUGGUCAAUAACCUCUCGGAGUUGGUUUAGCGAUUGCUAAGGCACAACGUCGUUGCACGUUUGUAGUCGGAUCGUCAAAGUCGUCUCCACCAAAUCGAUAGUUAUCAUCUCAUCGAAAGAUCGGGACACCCCCGCCUCUAUCAAGUGGUAUCAGUUUUCAGGUUGCUCGGUGAGAAUUUCCAGUUUUCCUAGAUUAGAUUUACUUUCUUACCUAUUGUUCAAGAAAAAGCCACAAAAAAGAGUUAGAUCUAUUCAUCCUUGGUCCAAGCCAGUCUGAGCCUUUGCAAUUUUCUUUUCAUUGAUUGCAUAGUUGAAUUAUCGAUUGCAUCGUCGUGUCGAGUUGCUGGUCUUAGUGUCUAGUUCGUUUAGAGUUUCGAGUUCUGUUCACAUUAGUCACGCCACCGCUGCAUCAUUAUCUCUUCCACUGUCCACCACCCAUCCAUCAAUUUCCACCACGUGCUACCCAUCAUUCAUUGUCAUAAUAAUAGUUGAGAUCGUUCAUAUCUUCACUUGAUCCAAUCUGCAUCUUAUCUAGUUUGUUUUGGAAAGAGGGAGAAAAAAAGAGAGAAAAAAAAGGAGAGAAAAAAAAGGAAAAAAAGUCAGAGAGGUUAACUCAUGCAUUUUUAAAAUCAAUUCAGCACGUUGUUUAGCAUCAAAAUUAACCUUCUCCGAAGAUGGAAGAGGCAACAAAUCAAUAGGUGCACGAGGUAGGAAACCAUACACAACUUCAAAAGGGCACAUCUUAGUAGUAGAAUGCAAUGAACGAUUAUAAGCAAAUUCAAUAUGAGGCAAGCAUUCCUCCCACAUUUUCUUAUUAUUCUUCAAAACAGCCCUAAGCAUAGUAGACAACGUUCUAUUGACUACUUCAGUUUGUCCAUCAGUUUGGGGGUGACAAGUAGUACUAAAAAGCAGUUUAGUCCAUUCAUUGAAUUUGUUGAAGAUCGAGUAGGGUUGAAAGUCGGCGAUCUUCUUGAUGGGAUGGUUGAGUCCAUUCAAGAAUCGUGCCAUUGUUUGCUCAUCAUCUUCCGUGACAUUGGCUCUAAUCAUGGCAAUCUCCUUUUCCUUGUAGUAUUCUUCAACACUCUUUGUUCCUUGCUUGAGGAGUUGUAGCUUCUUGAAGAGAUCGCGGUUGUAGUAUGUUGGAACAAAACGUGCUCGCAUGACAUCCUUCAUUUGAGCCCAAGUGGUGAUUGGAGGUUCACCUCUUGCUUGUCGUCGCUCAAUUACUUGUUCCCACCAUAUGAGCACAUAGUCUUGGAACUCUAGUGAUGCCAUUGCGAUUUUCUUCUCUUCCUCAAAGUUGUGCAAAUGAAAGAUUUUGUCGACCUUCAAUGCCCAUGAGAGGUAUUCUUUGGGAUCAUUCCUUCCAUUGAACUUGGGCAUUGUGAAUUUGAGCUUGCCAUAGCGUUGCUCUUCAUUGUGUUGUUGGCGAUGGUGUUGAUGACGCCCUUGACAUGGAGGGUAAUCAUCCUCAUGUUGCUCUUGGCGUGGAUGAAGUCCAUGAUCAACUUGCUCUUGUUGACCUUGAGGGCGAAGUUGAGCUUGAGGAGCUUGUGGAGGUUGACGUUGCACACGCGGAUGGUAGUUCCUCUCUUGGAUUUCUUCUCGAAGAGCUUCCUCUUGAAUGCACCUUUCGCGAUUGCGGUUGGCGAUAGCUCAACUUGAUGCUUGAAUGGCACGUUCCGCUUCAAGAGCUUGUGCUUCUCGUUGUUGUUGUUGAAGACGUUGAGCCUCGGCAUCAUGUUGCUCUUGGUGUAGACGCGCUCGUUCUUGUUCUUGUUGACGCUGUAGUCGUUGUCGUUCUUGAGCUUGAGCAAAAGCGACUUGAUUUUCUUGAGGACGAAGGACUUGCUCAUCGACUUGCUCUUGUGAAUGCUUGUCAUGUAGUGGGUUGCAGGAUGCAUGACGGUCUUGACGCGCGGCUCGUCGAAGAGUGUUCGAUGACGGUGUACUUGAGCCGGAGAAGGAGUCGUCGGAGUGUCGACUUGAGUGGCUUCGUCUUGAGUAUGACGAUGUAGAAGGAGGCCGGUUUGCCAACAAGGCGCGGAUCUUGUCCAUUCUUGCAUCGUUUUCUUGCUUGUGCGCGUCGAGCUUGUUGUCAAAGUAGUCUCUUGUACGUUGCUCGGAGAGUCGCAAGUCGGUGGCGAGGUUGUCGAUGCGGUCGUUUAUAGCUUGUUGCUCUUGAUGCAAUGCUCAUUGUGCACCAAAGAGGUGGCUCUUGGUGACGUAUGAUGACAUGUCAUCGUCUUGCUCGAUGAAGAGUGGGGUUGUAGAAGUACUUGGCCUAUCCAUCAUUUCAAGCAAAAUGUGAGUGGUAGAAGGAAAAGAACGAAUACCAAUGUACCUUUGACCGAUGUUGAAAGUGAAUCAAGUUCACUCAAAUGCGGACAAUGAAAUAGCACUUUUGGUACCAAUUCUUGUCGGUUCUCACACCUAUACAAGUAAAAGCUUAUAGUGGAGCUUGGUUAGGAUGGUGGCAUAAAAUUGAUUGCAAUCGUUAGUUUGACUCAAAGAUGUUGAAAAUGAUUCGCAAAUUCGCAAAUGCAACAAGUAGACCAAGCAAGUAUGGGUACACGGAAACACACACGCAAAUAGAUAAGUGGGAUUGUGCAAUCCAAAAGUGAGCCAAAAUGUGGAGACCACGAAAAUGCUCUUGUUGCACAAUACUAGAGAGACGCUAGCACGAUUGCACAAUAGGCGGAUACGCAAACUUGUGCACAACUUACUAGGCAAAAAUGCAACUAUCUCUAACCCAAGUAUGCUAUAUGUAUGGUAUUUCGGUGCAAUGAUCCAAGAUGAUCCAAUAUGACAAUCUUAAUGUUGUAUGAUGCUAUGGUUCUUGCUCAUAAGCUCUUCGCUUAUCUUUCCUCUUUGCUUAAAAGCUUGGUUGGCUCUUUCUCUUUUGAGCUCUUUUCUUAUGCAAACUUCACGAACCAAGAUAGCAAUUGUGUAUGCUAUGACAACUUUGUGACACACAAGUGGAUCCCAAGAUAUGCACCACUAUGUUAUGGUAUGUAUGGAGUAUGAUCCCUAAUGUGCACAAGUCACGUUGCCGGCAAUACUCAAUGGCUAGUCUCGAUGGGUAAGCGACGCGAAAUGAGGCAAUGUGGGUUAUCAAUGCAAUUGCAAGUUAUGACAAAGAUGUCAUCGAGGUUACCGUCCGUUGCGAAUAUGAGUAGUCUACGAAGAUGAGCGUUGGUUGUUGAUGUCGCACCAUACCUAAAUAGCCGAAACACAAUAGGACACGGAGAUCACAACUCAAAUUCUCGAACCCAAAGUCGAAUGGUGGUAUGGAGGUUGUGUCGUGGUAUUUUGGCAGGUGGAAGUAGUGGUGUUGGGGGUGGGGGAGUAUGUAGACGUAGGUGGUUGUGGUGGAAAACUGCAAAAAUGCAGUUUCGGCAGAGGAAGCCGGAUGAUCCGGGCCAGGAGCCGGAUGAUCCGGGCGAGUCCGGAUGAUCUGGGCCAGGGUCCGGAUGAUCCGGGCAGGUUAAACGCGGUCGAGAGCUGCUCUGGAAGAACUCGAAAACGGCGAGAAAUUCGUUGAUUCCGCGGAUUUUGGAAGGAUUUCAAGGGGAAGAAGGUGGGGAAAAGCAAGAUCCACAAGUUACACACCGAAUCCACGGAUCAAAAUCAACAAAUCUUCAUCAAAACCAACAAAUCACAAAAAAAUUUGGGGCUAUUUUUGGUGGGGAUUUUCGGAUUUAGGACGAUAACAACAAAAUCAAGCUAGAAAACACGGGGUAGGGGCUCCAAAAACGUGAUCAACGUGGCUCAUGAUACCAUAGAUGAUGUAGGGCGGAACCCUAAGUAGUCGAUCUUUCACGUUUGGAGGGAUCCCACGGGAGAAACACGAGAAACGCGCGGAAAUCACAAAGGGGAAUACGAGGGAAACGAGAGAGAAUCACUAAACCGAACAAGAAUCGAUUACACGAGUGCUAGAUCAUCACACACAUAAGGUAACACAUGGUCCACAAUCAAUAAAGGGAAAGGAUACAACGGAACGGUUCUUCUCCAAGAGGAGGCCUUGAUGUUCUUCCCUAAAGAGGGGUCUUGAAUCCGCUUGGGGAUCUUCUCCGGAGAGGUCCUGAUCUCCGAGGAGAAGUAUCCAAGUGGAUGAGCAAAUGAUCUCACACAAAAUGAGCUAAUCCAAUGCUAAGUCUCAAAAGGAGGAGGAGGAGUCCUAUUUAUAGGCUAGGGGGGCGAAGGGGUACAUGGGCUCAGCCCAACACGUGCACACAGGCGCUGGCCGGAUGAUCCGGGUCCGGAGCCGGAUGAUCCGGGCUGGUCCGGAUGGUCCGGGUGGAGGCCCGGAUGAUCCGGAGGCUCAGCUGAUGAAGGUGCAGGGCCGGACGUCCGGCUGGCGGUCCGGAUGUCCGGGCAGGGUCCGGAUGAUCCGGGACGGGGUCCGGAUGAUCCGGCUUCAGGCUGGAGCUUCUGUUGUCUUCGGUGUCAAAUAGCUGGAUCGUCCGGGCCGGGGUCCGGAUCGUCCGGGCUCUGUCCGAAUCAUCCGGGCCGCCGUCCGGAUCGUCCGGCCAGUCUGGUCCUUGGCGUUUUUCCUCUCCGUCUUCACGCAUGUCUUCCGCUUCUGGUUCUUCUUGCUUCCUAGCUUCUUCACGGUGAACUCCUUGGUACCUGAGAAUGCAUAGCGUUUCCGUUUGAGGUAGUAACCAUGUCUCAAGUGAAUCGAAAGGGAAUUGGGAGAGGAGAGAUGUCACCUCGGUUUCGAGAGCUCUUGCACGUGCUCGAGUCAUAGGUCCAAGUGGUGUUGUAGGGGAUGUAGAUGCGUCCAUGGGGAUGAUCAUGGGAUGCUCCGCAUCAACGGUGGUAUGUGGAAUUUAUUUUGCAGAGCCAGACACUAUCCUGGUGUUAACAAUCUUCUAUAAAUUAUUCGAAGGAGGAACCCGCCUUGCAAUGCCGAAGACAAUAUGCGCGCCGGACUCAUCGUCAUUGAAGCCUGGUUCAGGGGCUACUGAGGGAGUCCUGGACUAGGGGGUGUCUGGAUAGCCGAACUAUCAUCAUCGGCCGGACUCCAAGACUAUGAAGAUACAAGAUUGAAGACUUCGUCCCGUGUCCGGAUGGGACUUUCCUUGGCAUGGAAGGCAAGCUUGGCGAUACGGAUAUGUAGAUCUCCUACCAUUGUAACCGACUCUGUGUAACCCUAGCCCUCUCCGGUGUCUAUAUAAACCGGAGGGUUUUAGUCCGUAGGACAGAACAACAAUCAUACCAUAGGCUAGCUUCUAGGGUUUAGCCUCCUUGAUCUCGUGGUAGAUCCACUCUUGUACUACCCAUAUCAUCAAUAUCAAUCAAGCAGGAGUAGGGUUUUACCUCCAUCGAGAGGGCCCGAACCUGGGUAAAAACAUCGUGUCCCUUGUCUCCUGUUACCAUCCGCCUAGACGCACAGUUCGGGACCCCCUACCCAAGAUCCGCCGGUUUUGACACCGACAGCGUGCACGAGCUCUAGUAAUUGGUCUAGUAUGUAUAGCAGCAGGGGCUGUGGGUGUAACAAUGGUAUUUAUGUCCUCAUCACUCACUUACCCCUUCGUGGCUCUAGGCUAUAUAUACUCCUACACCUCCCCCUAGUUAAGGAUAGCAUUGGUUUAGCUCAUAUUUUGUGUGAGAGCCUUGCUCAUCCACUUUGUUACUUCUCCUCGGAGCUCACGACCUCUUCGGAGAAGAUCCCCCAAGAGGAUUCAAGACCCCUUCAAGGGAAGACCAUCAAGACCUCCUCACAGAGAAGAACGGCUACCUUUGUAUCUUUCCUUUGUUGAUUUUGAAUCUUGUCCUACCUUAUGUGUUCGAUGAUCUAGCCCUUGUGUGAUUGAUUACUUGUCGGUUUAGAGUUUCUCUCGUUCAUCCCUGUGUUUCUCCGUGUGUUCUUCCGCUUGUUCGUCGUGUUCCCCGUAGGAUCCACUCCAAACGUGAAAGAUCGUCCACAUAGGGUUCCGCCCUACAUCAGUUGGACUAACCCCAAAACCUGCAGGCAGCUCAAGUUUAUAUGCACUAUCAUUUAUUUUCUCUAACACCUUAAAAGGACCAUCAGCACGUGGCAUUAGCUUUGAUUUGCGCAAAUCAGGAAAUCUAUCCUUACGCAAAUGUAACCAAACAAGAUCUCCAGGUGCAAACACAACAUGUUUUCUACCUUUAUCUCCAGCAAGUUUAUAUUUAGCAUUCAUACGCUCAAUGUUUUCCUUAGUUAACUCAUGCAUUUUUAAAAUCAAUUCAGCAUGUUGUUUAGCAUCAAAAUUAACCUUCUCCGAAGAUGGAAGAGGCAACAAAUCAAUAGGUGCACGAGGUAGGAAAGCAUACACAAUUUCAAAAGGGCACAUCUUAGUAGUAGAAUGCAAUGAACGAUUAUAAGCAAAUUCAAUAUGAGGCAAGCAUUCCUCCCACAUUUUCUUAUUAUUCUUCAAAACAGCCCUAAGCAUAGUAGACAAUGUUCUAUUGACUACUUCAGUUUGUCCAUCAGUUUGGGGGUGACAAGUAGUAGUAAAAAGUAGUUUAGUCCCCAACUUAGCCCAUAAACAUCUCCAAAAGUGGCUAAGAAAUUUAGUAUCACGAUCUGAAACAAUAGUAUUUGGCACACGAUGCAAGCGAAUAAUUUCUCGGAAGAACAAAUCAGCCACAUUAACAGCAUCAUCGCUUUUAUGACAUGGUAUAAACUGUGCCAUUUUCGAGAAUCUAUCCACGACAACAAAUAUGCUAUCCCUCCCCUUCUUUGUUCAAGGUAAACCUAAAACAAAGUCCAUAGAUAUAUCCUCCCAAGGAACACUAGGUACAGGCAAAGGCAUAUAUAAACCAUGAGGAUUGAGUCGUGACUUAGCUUUUUGACAUGUUGUGCAGCGAGCAACAAAGUGCUCAACAUCCCGUCUCAUCUUUGGCCAAAAGAAAUGUGUAGCAAGUACGUCCUCCGUCUUCUUCACGCCAAAGUGUCCCAUUAGUCCUCCUCCAUGCGGCUCCUGCAACAAAAAAAGACGAACGGAGCUAGCUGAAAUGCAUAGCUUGUUAGCACGCAUCACAAAUCCAUCAUUAACGACGAACUUGUUCCAUGUUCUUCCUUCUUUACAAUUCUGCAACACAUCUUUAAAAUCAGCAUCAUGCACAUAUUGAUCUUUGAUGGUCUCCAAACCAAAUAUUUUGAAGUCAAGUUGUGAAAGCAUAGUAUAGCAAUGAGACAAUGCAUUAGCAAUAACAUUUUCUUUACCCUUCUUGUGUUUAAUGACAUAAGGGAAAGUCUCAAUGAAUUCAACCCAUUUAGCAUGUCUACGAUUAAGUUUAGCUUGACUUUUAAUAUGUUUCAACGAUUCAUGAUCAGAAUGUAUAACAAAUUCUUUGGGCCAUAAAUAAUGUUGCCAUGUUUCUAAAGUCUGAACAAGAGCAUAUAAUUCUUUAUCAUAAGUAGAAUAAUUCAGACUAGGCCCACUCAAUUUUUCAGAAAAGUAUGCAACAGGUUUGCCAUCUUGUAAUAACACACCUCCUAAUCCAAUUCCACUAGCAUCACAUUAAAGCUCAAAUGUCUUAUUAAAAUCAGGAAGUUGGAGUAAAGGAGCAUGUGUCAACUUAUCUUUCAACACCGUGAAGGCUUCGUCCUGUGCGGUACCCCAAACAAAAGGCACAUCCUUCUUUGUAAGAUCAUUGAGAGGUGCAACAAUGGUGCUGAAAUCUCUCAACAAACGCCUAUAGAAUCCAGCGAGGCCAAGAAAACUCCUCACUUGAGUGACCGUUUUGGGCUGCGGCCAACUCUCAAUAGCUUCAUUCUUGGCUUUAUGAACUUCAAUUCCCUGUGGGGUAACAACAUAGCCAAGAAAAGACACUCGGUCGGUGCAAAAGGUGCACUUCCCAAGGUUACCAAACAAACGUGCAUCACGUAGAGCAAUAAACACAGCACGUAAAUGUUCCAAAUGUUCCUCCAAAGAUCUGGUAUAAAUCAAUAUGUCAUCAAAGUAAACUACCACAAAUCGUCCAAUGAAAGUACUAGGUGCAUUAGUUAACCCAAAAGGCAUGACUAACCACUCAUAUAAUCCAAACUUAGUUUUAAAUGCUUUUUUCCAUUCAUCCCCCAAUUUCAUACGAAUUUGAUGGUAUCCACUAUGCAAAUCAACUUUGGAGAAUAUUGUAGAGCCACUCAAUUCAUCAAGCAUAUCAUCUAGCCUAGGAAUAGGAUGACGAUAACGAAUAGUAAUAUUGUUAAUGCCUCUACAAUCAACACACAUACGCGAUGUACCAUCCUUUUUCGGCACUAGAAUAAUAGGAACAGCACAAGGACUAAGGGAUUCGCGUAUAUAACCUUUGUCGAGAAACUCUUGUACUUGACGCAUAAUCUCCUUCGUCUCCUCUGGAUUGGUACGGUAUGGCGCACGGUUUGGCAGUGAAGCACCAGGAAUUAAGUCAAUCUGAUGCUCAAUCCCUCGAAUAGGCGGUAAUCCCGGUGGCACAUCUUGUGGAAAGACGUCAGCGAACUCCUGCAAAAUGUUAGUGACAGCAGGAGGAAAAGAGGAAGGCACGUCCUCGAAUGAAAAUAAUGCCUCUUUGCACACAAAAGCAUAGCCAACAGAUUUGCUGAAAUCUAGCUCAUCAAUAUCAGAUUUGGUGGCAAAUAAACAUGCACUUUUCAAUUUAAUUUCAGAAGCAACACUAGAUGGUUCAUUAUUAGGCUUCAUUUGUUGCUCAAAUUCUUUUGCCACAAUCUGAUUUUCACUCUUACUCUACUCCUGUUUUGCUUUAUUAGCUCUAUUAAUAUCAUCUUUCAAAAUGGAAUCAGGAGUCAUAGGAAGCAAAGUAAUAUUUUUAUCCUUAUGAACAAGAGUAUACUGAUUAUUUCUACCAUGGUGUACAGAAUUUUAUCAAAUUGCCAUGGUCUACCAAGUAAUAAGGAACAUGCUUGCAUAGGUACCACAUCACAAUCAACAUAAUCAGCAUAUGUAGAGAUACUAAAAUGCACACGAACAGUACGUGUUACCUUAACCUUGUCGCUGUUGUUGAACCAUUGGAUGUAGUAAGGAUGUGGAUGUGGUCUUGUGUUGAGAGAGAGCUUCUCCACAAUCUCCAUGCUAGCCAAGUUGUUGCAGCUCCCUCCGUCUAUGAUGACGUGCACAAAACGUUCCUUCACAACUCCGUUUGUAUGGAACAAAUUAUGCCUCUGAUUUUGCUCAGCUUGUUUGACCUGCACACUCAAAACACGUUGAGCAACUAAACAUUCAUACCUGUCAGCGUAUUCAGGAGCCAUGUAUUGCGUCUCAUGAUCAGAAUCAUCUCCACCGUGUUCUUCACAUGUAAUAAGAGCCAACGUCUCCUCAUCAUAGUCACUAGCGGGCUCAUACCAACCAUCCUCAGUAGCAAUCAUCACACGCUGAGAUUUGCAUUCUCUCGCAUAAAGACCUCUUCCCUUACAACGACGACAAAUAAUAUCACUUGUGUGCCCAGUUGAUGCCAUGGAAGAAGAAGAGCUCUAUGUAGGCCCGACAGGUGCGCUCUUGGCAGAUAGUGGUGGUUGUGCCUGCUUUCUUGUAUCACGGCUGGAGGUGGCACCUAAUGGAGGUGCUGGUAUAGUGGAAGUAGAAGAUGCACGUGGUGUCCAUGAUGAAAGUCGACCUAUAGAAAAGUUAGUUCGCGCCAAUGCUUGUUGAUCCUACACUUCACGUUCAGCUUUACAAGCAAGAUGGAAUAAACGAGUGAUAUUAGUAUACUCCUUAUACUCUAGAAUGGUCUGAAUCUCUCUAUUUAAUCCACCCAUAAAACAUGCAAGCAUAGGUUCAUUCUCCUCAACAAUACCACAUCUAAUCAUGCCAGUUUGUAAUUCCUGAUAAUAUUCUUCUACAUAAUUUUUUCCUUGUCUCAAACACUGCAAUUUUUGAAGCAAUUCACAUUGAUAAUAUGGUGGAACCAAAUGAGUACGCAUAGCAGUUUUCAAAGCAGCCCAAGUAGCUGGAAUAGGAUAUAAUCUACAAUGUUCAGACCACAAAACACAUACAAAACUAGUGAAAGCACAAACAGCAGCAGGAACAGGUCUCUCCUCAGGAUAUUGUAAACAUGUAAAUCGUUGUUCAGUUUCUAAAUCCCAAGUAAGAUAUAUAUCAGGAACAUAUCUACCCUCAAAUGGUGGAAUAUUCAGUUUCAGUUUAGGAAGAUGGUCAUGAUCUCGUACCUGAGGGAGAGCCCUACCAUUGUGAUUAUUUGCAUGUGGACGACCUGGUGGUUGUGGUGCUGGUGGUUGCACGUAGUUCUGAUUUUGAUCAACCUCAUCCUCGUAAUCUCCCGCAUAAUCAUCCUCCGCAUCAGCAGCAGGAGCCACAGAAGUAUCAACAGCAGCACCAACAGUUUGGCCGGCCUGAAGAAGGACACGGCUCGCUCGGCGGAGGGCUGUUUCGCGAUGUGGAGGUAGUAGUAGUUGUUGUUGUUGUUGUAGAGGUGCGGCAGGUGCAGCCGGUGGAAGACGUGCAAGCAGUUCAUUAAAUCUGUUAUCGAGCUUUGUUUCGAACGUCUUCUCAAGGCCAGUGAUCUUCUCCAUGGCCUCUUCAAAAUUGUUCAGCACAUCUUGCACCUAUUCAGUCAUCAUUUGCUGAAACUUAUGAUGAAGCUCCUUGUUCGUUAAGUUCUCCCAGUCAAUCUCAUCAGCUUGUGAUCCUGGCAUGUUUAGCGGCAAUAGAAACACACAAGAAUAUGAUCCUACAGACUACUAACAAGUGGUGGUGGUGGGUGUCACAAAUCCGUGAAGCAAAACUCAAAUUGUUACCAGUUCUUACCCAGCAGCAGGCGGUGAUCGGCAACCGUUGUAGUCAAAACUCUCAAAGCUUGGAUAGAGAGAUUACCAGGGAGAGUCAAACACACGACGUAGAUGUAUGUGGAGCUGGGAAGGCUUAUAAUAUGGUAGCAAAAAGGAUCAACAAUAAUCAAUUCAGAGAUGCAAAGUUGAAUAAACGCUCAACGACGGUACUGUGCAGGUCCUAGGCUAGACCGUGCUAGAAACACGAGCCUAGAACACUAACAAAAUCACGGCGCUGCACGUAAACAAGGGAGAAGCACACUCUGGAAUUUUUUUUCGCUCUUUUUUUUUGCGCUUUGCUUUUUUUUGCGCUCCUCUUUUUUUUGCGAAAAAUCACUAUAAUGGCGAGUGUCUCAAAACUCUUCCCAGGUCAAACUAACAAGAUGGGCACGAAAUUUUUUUGACAAUUUUUUCCGGAAAUCAGGGCAGCGACGACGAAAAAGUGUGACAAAAAAUCGCUAUGAUGGCGAGUGUCUCAAAACAUUCCCUGGGACCUAAAAAUAGGAUAGGGGAAAAAUAUUUUGGGUCGCCGAAAUUUUGGCCUAAAAACUGCCCGGGGGUCCCCAGAUUUGUUUUUUUCGAAACCUACUCAGGCAAGGAAACACGAAUCGGAAAUUAGAUGGAUCUCGAAAACAAACCUAAUAUGCAAGGAACUCGAAUUGGUGGUGGAUAUAUGGUGGUGGUAUAUGGCAGCGGUGGUGGUACAUGGCAGCGGUGGUGGUAGCGGUGGUAGUAUAUGGAUAUGGAUCGAUGGUGGUAUAUGGAUACGGAUUGGUGUUGGUAUAUGGAUACGGAUUCGGAGCGAUGGUGGUAGGUGGCAGGGGCAAUGAUGAUGGUGCGGUGGCGGCGUGACAACUUAUGACCAGAACUCGAAACUCUAAAAGACUAGACGCUAAGACCAGCAACUAGACGCGAUGAUGCAACCACAAAUUCAAAAAAGCCAAAUACUGAAAAGACUAUGCAAAGGCUCAAACUGGUUCGGAUAGGAUGAACUAACCCUAAUUUUUUUUGGCUUUUUCGUGGACUAUAGUAUGAAGAACAGACUUGAUCUAAACUACGAAAAACUGUAAAAUCUCACCGAGCAACCUGGAAAUCUGAUACCACUUGAUAGAGGCAAAGGUGUCCCUUCUUUCGAUGAGAUGAUGGAUAUCGCUUUGGUGGAAGUCGACUUGGACGAUCCGACUACGAACGUGCGAGGACGUCGCGCCUUAGCAAUCGCUAAACCAACUCCAAGAGGUUAUUGACCACGUCGGAGCACAAUCAACCUGACCACGAGGGUCUGUUUCCUGCGAGCAAACGAAGAACAAGCAAGAAACUGAGAUUGCAAUCUGGAUAUUGCGAAUAUAAGAUGAAAGCUUUAUUGAUCAUGGUGGGGUUCUGUGACGCCUUUGUCUGGUUGUUGAACACAAACGAAGUAUGCGGAGUUGCAGCUAUGGCAAACUUUUAAGCUAAACAAAACCCCAAGUCUAAACGACGCCCUAAGUGAUGUAUAUAUGGAGGAAGAGGGGGAAAAUUCGUGGCCCUUGGGGAAGGGGUCCGAAACCAACACUAUCUCUUGUUUCCCCACGCAUACGGACUCUAAAAACAGCAUAUACUCAAGUAUUUCGCAAAUACAUGGGCCUGGCCCAAUAAUAAGCUGACGCGGCACCUAGAGUAGCUUCUGGACGAAAGUUAUGAAGUAGCAUCUUGUAUAUUUCGUCCAAGGCUUCAUGCACUCAUUAUGGUGGCUUCAACAUCCUGAAAUCAUCACUCAUAACUCCGUUCUUGUUCCCCUUGUGCAUGCCAUCAUCUCCAUGCUUGUUCUUUCUCCAAUGUUCAUCCUUCUCCAAGCUAGGCCCUUCAUUUGUAAGCAAAACAAAUAUAUCCAAUUUAGGCAGCAUCAUAUUCUCAUGAACAUUAGAAUCAUUACCAAGAAACGAAAGUACCUGGUAAAUUAAUUGGCAUGCGCGAGCUCUAGUAAUUGGUCCAAUAUGUAUAGUAGCAGGGCUGUGGGUGUAACAAUGGUAUUGAUGUCCUCAUCAGGAAGGCUUAUAAUAUGGUAGCAAAAAGGAUCAGCAAUAAUCAAUUCAGAGAUGCAAAGUUGAAUAAACGCUCAACGACAGUACUGUGCUGGUCCUAGGCUAGACCGUGCUAGAGACGCGAGCCUAGAACACUAACAAAAUCACGGCGUUGCAUGUAAACAAGGGAGAAGCACACUCUGGAAUUUUUAUUUUUUUCGCGCUUUGUUUUUUUUGCGCUCUUCUUUUUUUUGCGCUCCUCUUUUUUUUCUCUGACUUUUUUUUACUUUUUUUUCUCUCUUAUUUUUUCUUCGUCUUUUUUUCUCCGUCUUUUAUUUUUCUCUCUCUCGUUCCAAACAAACUAGAUAAGAUGCAGAUUGGAUCAAGCGAAGAUGUGAACGAUCUCAACUAUGAUUAUGACAAUGAACGGUGGGUAGCACGUGGUGGAAACUGAUGGAUGGAUGGUGGACAGCGGAAGGGAUAACGAUGCAGCGGCGGCGUGAUAAUGUGAACAGAACUCGAAACUCUAACGAACUCGACACGACGAUGCAACCGAUAAUUCAAUAAUGCAUACAAUGAAAAGAAAAUUGCAAAGGCUCAGACUGGCUUGGACAAAGGAUGAAUAGAUCUAACUUUUUUUUGUGUCUUCUUCUUGAACAAUAGGUAAGAAAAUAAAUCUAAUCUAGGAAAACUGGAAAUUCUCACCGAGCAACCUGAAAACUGAUACCACUUGAUAGAGGCGAGGGUCCCCAUCUUUCGAUGAGAUGAUGGAUAUCGCUUUGGUGGAAGUCGACUUUGACGAUCCGACUACGAACAUGCGAGGACGUCGCGCCUUAGCAAUCGCUAAACCAACUCCGAGAGGUUAUUAACCACGCCGGAGCACGAUUAACCUGACCAUGAAGGUCUGUUUCCUGCAGGCAAACGAAGAACAAGCAAGAAACUAAGAUUGCAAUCUGGAUAUUGCGAAUAUAAGAGGAAAGCUUUAUUGAUCAAGGUGGGGUUCUGUGACGCCUUUGUCUGGUCGCUGAACACAAACGAAGUACGCGAAGUUGCAGCUAUGGUGAACUUUAAUCUAACGAAACCCACCGGAAAAAGUUACUAGAUGGAUCUACUUAUAUAGGAGCAAGGGGUGGCGGCCAAGGAGGUGGGAGGACGUCCCAAGGCAGCCUAAAACUAACCCUAGGUCGUACAAGGCCAAUGGGCCCAAGUGGAGGUGACGUAACACCUUUGGACUUGUAGUUUGACUCGGAUUCUGCUGCAGC
rnacentral:lncRNA from 1 species